rnacentral:lncRNA from 1 species
UUUUUUGUGAGAGGUAGUAAGGGGUCGAGAUAGCCCCGUGCCGCGAUGGCUAUUCAACCCAACCAGGGGUCAUGUCGCGAUGGCUAGUCAACCUAAUAGGGGUCGCGUCGUGAUGGCUAGUCAACCUGACUAGGAGUCAAGCCACAAUGGUGAUUUCCACGGAAAAAAAAAAGGCCAAAGGGCAGUUUAGUCCUUUCCCCUCAACCCUAGUCGUCCAAGCACGAUUUCUAACUCAAAAAUGGGCAUUAUUUUCUCAUCUUCCUAAAAAAAAUUGACAUAAAAACCCUCCCCUUUCCGAAGAACAAUAAUUCAAGUUUUUCCUCUCAAGAAGACAAGGAUCCAAGCUUCAAUUUCAAGAUUCCUUCAAGAAAUAUAAGAUUUCAAGCUUCCAAGUUAAAUAAAUCUUCAAGAAAUAUCAAGAAUAGAGUUUCUUUCACAAGUUCAUCAUUCAAGUUCUAAGAUUCAAGUUUUCUUCACAAUUCAAGAAAAUUAUGGUAUGUGGGAGUUCAUCCAUGGAUCCCUUUUCACUCAUGGAGCCCAAAAACCCUUUUUUUUCAAUUAAAGAAUGAAUUUUCUAUCAUUAUAGUAUUUUAUAUGUUCAAGAAAAGAUUGAAUUUCAUGUUCUCAUGGUGUUUUUAAUUCAAUUCAGCUCAUGUGUGAUUCCAUGCAAGAUUUUGAAUUCCUCAUGCUAUGAAUUUGAGUUUCUCAUGCUUUAUUCAAGUGAAUCCCAUGAUAUAUCCUAAAUUCAUGACUUUUAGUAACAUUACCAUAUUUUAAAUUCAUGUUUUUCACAUGUUUGAUGAAAUAUCCUUGUAUUGAGGUAAACCAUGUUUCAAUACUACAGUUUAAGUUUAAAUGUCAUAUUUUAAUGAUCAUUCAGCACUGGUGGGUUAUGAAUAUCCAAUACCUACGUGUUUUACAUGAUUUUCAUUUUUCAAGUAACAAGUCAGUCAGAUCAUGAUUUUAAUAUCAUAUUUAGAACACUAAGAUUAUGAUGAGCAUUAUCAAUUUAUAUGUUAACAAUUACCCCAAAAUUCGUAUGCACUGUUAUUUUUAGAAUACCAUGACCCGAGCUUAUCAGUUAUCAGUGCAUGCAUCAGUUCAUGAUUCUAGUGCCAGUUCAGUUGGGAGUAGGACUUAGCACCGGAGUGAACCUAGGGAUGGGGGCUCGCUCGCCAGUUAGGACUAGGCCUUAGUAGCAGUCCCUAAGUUCCAGAACUACGUAGCCAACGUAAGAUUAUGAGAUGUCACCCACUAGUUUAGGACUAACACUCUCUUAGGGGUACCCACCAGUUUAGGAUUGACUCCCUUAGUCCUUCAGGACAUCAGAUUAGUAGAUCCGCACAGCCAGUGUUAGUCCUUGUGGCACGGUACUAAUACUCUUUCAACUGGGGUUAUAGGUUGGAGCCCAAUUAGCUCAGAUUGGGGCAUAUCGGUUAGACAAUACCUUCCACAAUCUCAGUAUAGUAUUCAGUGUAUUUUCAGUUCAGGGUUGCUUGAAUAAGUGUACAGACUUUCAGAUAUUCAGUUAUACAGAUUUCAGUCUUUUAGAUUACAGAUUUAUCUUAGUAACAUAACAGAUACAUACUUAGUCUUGCAUUCUCAGAGAUUACAAUAUUCAUGCAUUCAUGCUUAGUUAUCUCAUGUGGUUCAGUUAGUCCUUAUCUCAUAUGCACAUUACCCUACAGCUUCAGUCCAAUUAUUUAGAGUAAGUAUAGUUCAGUAUUAUAUGAUCAGUAUUCAGUCAUCAGUUACCCAGUUUUUGGAUAUCAGUAGUUCGUAUUCAUAUAUCAGUUAUUCUGUAUAUAGGCGUUGGUUAUCCCUUUACUUAGAUUUCAAUCAUUCCAUCACUCAGGCAUCAGUUAUUCAGUUAAUCAACCAGUUCAGUACAUGUAUGUUCGGUUUCGUAUGUUCAUGUAUUCAUGUUUUACCGUAUCCCAGCUUCAGUUCUACUUAUUCUUUAAAAGUAAAGAUUUUAAGAAAUUAAGUGUAGUGAUUCACCAGCUUAUCAAAUUAUGAUUGUUUCUCAUGCUUUAAGAUACUUCAUCUUUCAGUUUAUUUUAGUCUCUUGGUGAGUCUACUUGCACUUAGAAUGCAUGUUUUAAGAUCACGUAUGAACUCAGUUUUACUUAUUGCAUCCACCCUCACUUAGUAUAUUACAGAAGUACCGAUCCACAUAUACGUCUGUGUGGUUGCAUUGUUUCAUAAUGCAGGUACCAGUUGCAGCCCAUACAUCAUGAUCAUACAGUCGCAAUUUUCAGCCAGCAAGUGAUGAUUUAUCCUAUUUUUGGGACUCCAGUCAGAUAUUGUUCAUGUAAUUUAUUUUUAUUAUUCAUAUGUAUUGAUUAGUGGUAGUUGGAGGCAUGUCCCAGCUAUCUAUAGUCAGUAUAGUAGAGGCUUCAUAGGUAGUCAGCCAGAGUCAUGAUAUUGUAAAUCAAGUUAUUUCUUCAGAUGUAUCAUGUUGUAAACUCAUUCAGUAUUACAUUCAAUCAGAUUUUCUCAAGACUAUGCUUCCACUCAGCACGCUAUGUUUUGUUAGAUAUAUAGUAAGUCAGUUGCUCAACAGUAUGCCAGUACAUGGGUUAGCUUAGGAUCACUUGUGGUUCCAAGCACCGUGUUACGACUAGGGGGUAGUCUCGGGUCGUGACAUAUAGUAAGUCAUAACGAGUUGUGAGGUGAGUCGUAACGACUGAAUGUGGGUUUCCUACACAAUUUUCGAAUGGCUUUUAAGUCUUUUUCCUUUCUUUUAAAAGCCUAAUUCACAUUGUUUAGGCUUCCCAAAGGGUACUAUAAAAGCCCCAAAAUCCCCAAUUGCAUGAUUAAUUAUAAAUUCACUCAGAGAAACAAAAAAAAAUGACUUUUCCUUCUCCCAAGAAAUAACUAGGGUUCAUCAAGCAGGUCCAAUUCUCAAGAAGAUUUCUUCAAGCUUCUAUAUUUAGGUAUGUGCGAUAUUCAUCAAUGGUCUCCUUUCACCCAUUGAGUCCCAAAGUUUCCCCAAUUUUCAAGUCUAAUUACCUAUUUGUUUUACGGUUCCGCGAAAAGUAUGAAUUCCAUAAUUCUUGAAUUCAACCAUGAACAAGUGGUUCCUCAUAAGUUCAAGCACUCCUUAGUACUCUAAGCAUGAUAACUCGUGACAUUGAUGAAGUUAUUUAAUGCUUGAGUUUAAGCUAUGAAAGUUCCAAUCACAUCAUUAUCUUGAUAUUAUUGUAUUCAAUUAUAUUUUCAGUGUGGAUUAUGAACACCUGAUAUCAAGAUAAUCAUGCUUACCACAACUUGCAAUAUUUCAAGUUAUUUAUACCAUGUUUGUACCACGAAAUUCAUAACAUUAUCAUGUUGAGCAAUGGUCAGUAUUGUAUCAUGUUAAUCAUGUUAUCAGCAUCAAUGUCAGUUCAGUUAGGAGUGAAACUAAGCACCGAGUGAACCUAGGGAUGAAGGCUUACUUGCCAGCUUAGGGUGAGAUCUUUAGUAGCAGUCCCUAAGUUCCAGAAUUAAAUAGCUAGUGUAGGAUAUGAGAGGUCUUCCUACCAGUAUAAAGUUGAUACUCCUUUAGGGGUACCUGCCUGCAUAGGGUGACACCCUAGUCCUUUGGGACAUCAGUUUAGUGGAUCCACGCAGCCAGUAUUAGUACCAUUGACAAGGUACUGACACCCUUUCAACUGGGGUUAUAGAUUGGACACCAAUUAGAUCAGAUUGAAGCAUGUCAGUUGACCGUUAGCUCCCACAAUUUUCGUUCAAUAUUCAGAUUAUAUCAGUUCAAGUUUGUAUAACCCAGUGUCCAUAUAUCAACUAUCAGUUAUUCAGAUCAUCUCCGUACAUGUUCAUGCUUGGUUUUGCAUUCGUUUUACAUGUUCAUGCAUUCAUGCUUAGUACAUAUAUGUAAAUUAGUUAGUUCCUAUUGUCAUACACGAUAUUUUCCUAAGGUCAAAACAAGCACGACACUAUGGACUCAAAAAGAAUAUAUUAUGUACAAAGUCGCCACCUAAUUUUUAAGAAAAAAUAGGAAACUUAUUUAUUUAUUUAACAAGUAUGACUUUAUUUAAUCUACGAAACCAGUUUGAAUUCUAGGUAAGGGUUCAAAUUAUUUCGAAGGGAAGGGGUUAAGCACCCUUCAAAAUCCACAGAUGUAGUUCCCGACCAGACUUAGGUUGAUUAAAAAAGGGAAGAGAAAAAUUAAUGUUUGUAAAUACAAAUAUACAAUAUGUAUUGAAAUAAUACAAUCCAUAUGUUAUCGUAAAAUAUAUAUAAACAAAAUAUAUAAAUAUGUAUGUAAAGACAAAAUUGAAAAAAGAAAAAUUGUUUUAAGGAAAAAAACUACGUAAUAUUUAUUAAUGUAAAAGGUGUAAAUUAUUUGAUUAAAUAUCUAAAUCAAUUUUAAUAUAAAUAUUAAAGGCCUAAAUUUUUCUAACACGUGAUGAGAAUUGCGUAAAAAAUGAAAAAUAUCAUAAGAUUAUAUUAAAGAAAAGAAAAAAAAAAACCAUGCAAUAUCUUUCAAUGUAUAAGUAUGAAUUAAUUAAGUAUAGAAAUUAAUUUAAUUUUUUAAUAUAAACAUUAACAAUCUAAAUUUGCCUAAACACGUGGUGAGUAUUUGUAUAAAAGCAUUCUUGUCCAAUGCCCCAAAAAUAAAAUUUUCACUGUAAUUGACAUUUUGUACAAGUGUAAUAAUAUAAAAUACAAAAAUAAAAAUUAAAAUCUUCUUUGCAUGCCAUUCUCGAUAAAUAUUCUCAAUAACUUGUAUAAACACUUGUAGUAAAAUAUUAGUAACAAAUAAACAACUAUCAAAAUAAAUUGAGAACGUAUGUGUGCAUAUGUGUAAAAAAUAUAAUUUUCAUUAAAAUAGUGGGCUCGAAUUAAAUUUUAAAUACGUCAUGGCUACGAAGUGGUUGCUCAAUUGAUUGACCGUCCUAAAUCGUCUUACCAAGAUACGAGUCGUAAAGUCUUUUGUGUUGUUAUAAAAUUUUCGUCAUCGUCCAAAUUUAUUUAUUUUAUUAUGUAUUUAUAUACGUAAUAUUCAUAUUUUUAUUUGUGCAGGCCUCAAAAAUCGAUGAAGAAUUUCUUCAUCAACCAAGUGUCGAUCUUUAAUAUAAAAUAAUAACUUUGAUAAGAUAAAAUUCGUCUUUUGUAAUGAAGUGACCUCAAGUAUCUGAUGAAAAGAUAAUUUCAAUGGCCAACUAAUGUACUCCCGCUGUUUUGAAAUAAGUGAAUUGUUAGAAUAUUUAUUAGUGUUUUCAAAUAAGUGAAUUAUUAAUUUUUUUUUUUCAAAUUUAUCCUUAUAAUUUAAUAACCAAUUAACUUACAAGGUGAACUUUUUUUUUUUUUUUUUUUUUGGGUAAAAGUGAAAAGUUAUGUUAAAAUUUUAUAUCUUUAAUGCUUAACGUUUUGUUGAUAUAUGUAUCAAAAUCCAACAAUUCAUUUUUAUUCAUUAUCAGUAUAACCUCAAAGUCAGUAAAUUAAAAGACGAAAUCGUCCAAAUUUAAUUCCCAAAAAUGCAAACAAGUAGCAAUUCCAUCCAAAAUAUAUCAAAAACUAUGCCAAAUCAGUCCAAAUUAAUGCUAAUGAAAAGCAAAAUAAACAAAGGGCAUUAGCAGUGAGGGAACUAAAAAAAACAACCACCAACAUUAGUGCACUUAGCAGAUCAACAGGAAGAGAACAAAUUAAACUAGAUUAAAACACUGCUCUUACCGAAAACAAAUUAAAACACAAGAAACAGAUUAUAACCAACCAAAUUAGGGAAACAAGAUAUACAAUAGCACUUAAACAGUAAAAACUCAAUUCCAAGGAGUGAUUUUUGACGAAUAACAGUAAUAAAUGGAGAAGAAAGUGGCGUCACUUCCACGGAUUUGGCCCGAGUAACGCCAUAUGUACAAAGAACCGAUCAGAUCUGGCCCAAAAAAUGGAACAUCAGCAACGAGAGGGAGCACGAGGUGGGGAGUUCGUUAGGUGGUGAGAGGGGGAAGAAGGGGACGGCGCCGGAGGGUAUGGGUUGUCGGCGACGCUGGUGAGAUGGUGGAUUUCGCCGGAGUCCCGCCAUGCUCACCGGAGAAGGAGAAGGAAAAGAAAGAGCGGCUGAUUUUUUUUUCGUGUGUGUAUGUUUUGUUUGUUAAAGAAAAAAUAAAUGGCUCCCCUCAUUUAUACAUGAUAAAAAGUUAUCUCCUUUUGUUCUGUUAAGACUUUUUUCGGUCCAAGAGUUAUUAACCAAAGAAACUUUCACCUUUUUAACCAAUAGAUCAAAAUUUUUUAUCCAAUGAAUUAAAACUUUAACCCGUCAUUUUUAAGUGUCUAUCUUUUUAAAAAUUGACAUGAUUUUAAUUGAUUUAUUGCUUGGUGUAUUAAAAUAAUUAAGCCAAUAUUAUUGUGUGCAGAUUAUAUUAAAUAAUGUACAAAAAUAUGAAGAUCGAUAUAUAAUUAUAGAAAAAACGUAAACAACAAAUAUAAUAAAAUAAUCCUAAAAAAAUAUAUUAUGCUAUAAAUAAUUAAAAUUAUAGUAUGCGGUAAAAAAAUUGCAAUGCUAUGUUAUGUACAGAUGCAAAUGACUGUGCAAACAUUUAGAACGAUAAUAAACUAAUAAAAAUUAUAAACUUUACAAAAUUAAAGAUAAUUAUCAAUAAAUUAUGUAAAAUUAAAAUAUAGUAAUAAAUAAGUAAAAAUUCUAAAAUAAUGAUGAUUAUCAAUAAGUCAUUAAUAAUUACAAAAAAAUGUGUGAAAAAUUAUAGUUUGUGUCAUUUAACGAUCAAGAAGCCUAAAUGCCUUAAUUUUAUGUAUGGAGAGACAAAAUUGGGUGUCAACACCUAUAUCGAAUACAGUACAUUCAAAUUACUGACCGUAUACUCUCUUUUGCACUAUAUUGAUUUCACAAUAUAGGUUUAGAUGCUCAGUUUCCAGAUAGCACGUAGUCCGUUCCUGUAUAACUCAAUAGCAGCAUUGGUGUGUCCUCAUCAGUCGAGGAAUAGUCAUAUUAUUUAUCAUACUUUCCAGUACUGUAUUUCAUGUUAUUUUAGUGGUCAGAGUUAGUUGGGGACCUAUACCAACAACUUAUCAUGUUUAGAGGCUUUCAAACAGUCGCUCAGUUAGACAUGUUUUCAGUGAUGUGUUUCAGUUACCUUUGAUACUGUUAUUGAUUAUUAGAUAUUUUUAAAUGAUUUCGUACAGUAUUUUGUCACCUUUUUUUAGUAUUUACAGCUUGUUCCUGAUCAUGGGUUAGCUUGGGUCAUUUGUGACCUUAAGCACUGUGUUACGACUAGGGGUAGUCUCGGAUCGUGAUAAUAUUUCAGCUGCAAAUGCUCCUAUUAAAUGUCUUUGAAUGACAAAGUCAAUGCAUUCAUGAAGAAUGGUAGACCAAUCGGUUUCAAACCCAAUAAUCAUUGAAAAAAGAAGCAAAUAAUAAGGAGACAAUGUGCUUUUGAAAACUUACAACAUAACACUUCAUGAAACCUUAUAAGAGGUUCAGGUACCUGAAAAUAAUAAAGUGAUGAGAUCUCAAAAUGUUAUGUCACAUUUUGAAUCGAUAUAAAUCAUAUAUCUUUGAUAAUAUCUUUGAUACAAUAUGAUGCAAUAUUGCAAAAGAUUCUGAGGAUCUGAAUUCUACAUAAUAUACUGACGUAGAAAAAUAUAUCAAAUGACAUAGAAGGAUACAUCUUGAAAAGUAUAAAGCUUAUUUGAUUUGCAGACAUUAAAAGGUGUCACACAUUUAAUGUUAAAUAUUGUUACUUAAGAAAUACAAUAUGAAAAUCCCUAUAGAAUUAAAAUACCUAAAAUAUAUAUGUUUUUGAGGAAUUUGUUUAUAAUGAGCAUGAAAUUGUUUACUCCUAUAUGGAGAUACUGAAAUAAGAUCAUUUGAUGAUCUUACUUGAACAAGAUAUGUUCUAUAUGCUCGUACCAGUAUAUCCUUGAGUUUUAAGGAAAUAGAAAACGAAGUCUGAUUGAUGAAACAAGUUGAGAAUAUGUACAACUGAGGUCAAUAAUACAUCUCAUUUGAGAAAAUGUGGCUUGAAAGAUGACAAAAUAACCAUAAUCUUAUAUGAAGAAAUACAACAUGCAUAACACAAUCAAAGGAAAGAUUCAUAAAAGGAGAUAAAGUGAAACACAUUUCAUCUAGGCUUUUCUACACACAUAAACUCCAAAUAAUGUUGAAAUCAACAUGCAAUAGAUUUGUUUGUUUGAUAAUAUGAAUGAUUUAUUCACCAAGUGUCUAUCAAUUAUAACUUUUAAGAAGAUUCGGGAUUUUAAAUUGAUGUUCUCAUCGUCAGCCAAUAUGUACUAUACUCUUUUUUCCUUUCAAGACUUUGUCCCACAAUUUUUCUUGUAAGGUUUUUGAUGAGGUAGUCGAAAUUUGUAUUACUAUAGACGUGUACUUUUUUUUCUUUACUAGAUUUUUUCAAUUGGUUUUUUCUAAUAAAGAUUUAACGAGGCACAUUAUUUAUCAAUUAGACAUUCAAGGAUGAGUGUUAUAGAUAUCUUUAAUUUAUAGUAAAUAUCUAUCAUGAUAUAGUAAAUAUCUAUCAAGAUAUGUAAUGUCUAUGUUUUCUCAUCUAUUUUUUUGGCAAAAAAAUAGAAAGAAUUUUCUCCUAUAAAUAGAGAGAUUCUCUUCAUUAGAGUUCUUAAUCCCAAAUCAAGAGAAAUAAGAACUUUGCUCUCUUUUCUCUAUUAUUAUUCUUGUUCUUUAUUUAUUAGUUUAUAACAAUAUUAUAAAUGAGGUUAGCAUUACUUUAAAAUAUUACAUCACAACUAAUUUUUUUUUUCAAAUAGUUGCUCCAUUGAUUGUCUCAAAUGUUCUAAAGACGGACAACCUAGGAAUAUAUAUAAAAUAUACUGUAAAACUAUUACGACAUGUAAUAUUAUUUUAGCUAGUAUUUUUUUAAUUUGAUGGUUGUUUAUUUAUUAGAUGAAAAGCGUUUGUGUUAACACAGGUCCAAUAUCUAUAAUUACAUUAUUUGUCUUAAUUUGUGUGACAAAUAUACAAUUUAUAUUGUCAAUCAAAAUGCUAUAUGAUUAUUAGAUAUUUUAAAUUGUUAAUUAUUAUGAUUUAUAAUUGAACAUGGAGUCAACUUUUUAAUAUUUUUUUGUUUAUUAUUACGAUUUAUAGUAAUUUUUUGACGUAUUUUUCACAUAAUAUAUUUUUUUCUCUCAAUUUGUUUUGUUUAGAUACAAGUUGUUAUUUAUAGUGUUUGUACAUAAUUUUCAUAUAACAUAUGUUGCUCUCUUUGUUCUAAUAUUUAUAGUUUUUUUUACGUAAUUUUCAGAUAUUAUCAUACUCCCCACAUUCCAAAUUUAUAUGAUUUACUUUUCUUUUUAGUCAGUCUCAUAAGGAAUUACAUGUUGCUAUAUUUUGUAAUAAUUUAGCUUUAAAAUGCUCAUUUUACCUUGAUUUACAGUCACACAAAUAUCUUAGACUUAUUUUAAAUCACAAAUUUCUAAAGUUUUUUUUUAAAUUUUGUGUCAAAUCAAACUAACUCACAUAAAUUAAGAUGGAGAGUAUAUGUUACUCCCUUUGUCUCAAUUUAUAUGUGAUAUAGAUAAAAUUUUGAGAUGUAAACAUUUAUUUACAUAAUCUUUUUAUGGAGUAAAUUAUUAAUUAUUGUAAUUUGUAAUAAUUAUUACAUAAUUUUCAAAUAUACAAUAAAUUUUUUAAAAAAUGAUGUGAUUGAUAAAUUUGAUGGAGCCCACGUUGUCAUACUAGCAUCAAAGGUUGCAUGUCAAUUCCGUUUGAAUUAAAGUAAAACGUGGGGUCCCUUUAUACUAAAAGAAAGAGUAGAAAUAUAUGUUUUUUAAUUAAUUUUUUAUUUAUUUAUUCCCAACAUUUUAAAAAUAUAUUAAUUUCAUCUCAAAUGCUGACGUGAAAUUUAAAAAAAAAAAAGAAAAAAAAAUAUAUUCAGCUUAAAAAUUGAAAUGGUUUUACUUUUUAAAAAAUAUAUAUAUCCUUUCUUCUUAAAUGACCCAAACUCCCAACACCUACCCUCACCCUUCACUACUAUUCUUUUUCAUUACACCAUCACCACCACUCCUCUUUCAACCACCAAUUUUACCACCACCAGCCCCCUCCCCUCUAACUCCAAUCCCCACCCUAAUUUCUUCUCCCCAAAUCCGCCAACCUCUACCCCACUCCUCCUUCAACUACCAAUUUCACCACCACCAGCCUCCCAUCCCCCAAUCCUCAAUUUCCUCUCCUUCAAUUAUCAAAUCCUUCACCCCCACCUUCAAUUUCUCCUCCUUCAACCCCUUGACUUAAGAUCAUUAAGAAAAAUAAAAUUGGAUUUUAAAAAUUAAAAGUUAUCUUUUUGGAUUUAAAAAUUUGAAAUAAAAUUAAAAUCAAAGAAAAGUUAAUAGCGGCAGUGUUAAUGGUGGUGGUGGUGUUAAUGGUGUCAGUUAUGUUAAUUUUGUGUGUAUAUUCUUUUGUGGGUUUGUUUUAAUCAUUUUCCGAUGAGUUUUUCCGGAAUACAAGCAAAAUAAAGAUUGCUUUCAACUUGAAAAUUCUUUCAACUUUGACUUUGUGUUGUUCAUAUAUCAUGUUAAAAAUUGACGUGGUUUAGGUGUUUGAUCGUUGAUUUGAGAGAAUUUGGUGUUGGUUUGAUCGAAUUUAUUAGGUGGAUUGAAUUUUUGGUCACUGAUUUAUGGUAUUUUUUGAUUGGUGGAGGUUGAAUUUGAUCGCCGGUUUCAGGCUAGUUUAGGGUGAAGAAAUUAAAGAUUUAAUCGAUAAAGAUGGAGUUUUUCAGCGAAAAUUUACCGAAAAAUCUAAGUUCCUUGGUUGUUUAUAUAUAUGUAAUCGGUAAAGAUUCAGUUUUUCGAUGGAAAUUCGCCGGAAAUCCUAAGAUCUUGGUUGUUUUGUGUGUGUGUGUGUGUAUAUAUAUAUAUAUAUAACGUUUUUUAAAUAAUUUGUGGCGUGGCAACGAUGUGGCAGUGAUGUGGCACUGAUGUGUAGGCGGUUGCAAUACACUCUCUAUUGUGAGAGUGAUAUUCAAUCUUGAGUGGUGAAAUUAAUACACUUUAAGGGGUCGUUUGGUUGGGAAACAAGUUAUGCUCGGAUUAGUUAUACUGUGAUUAGUUGUCCUGAGAUAAGUUAUUCUGAUAUUAUGUUUUAGUGAAUUAUUUGAUUUGUGGAACUAAAAAUGAUAGGCAUUACAUCCUUUCUAAGAAUAGAUAGUUUGUUUACAAAAAUACCCUUUGCCUUAUUUAACUUAAUAUUUCAUAUUAAAUUACUUAUUUUGUCCUAAAUUCUAUAAAAUGUUGAUAAUCUCAUUUUUUUUAAAAAAAGAUUCAUCAUCAAAAAAUGUGAAAAAGAAUUACUCUCAUCUUACAUUAUUUAGUAUCAUUAAUAUUUGGAAUCAUUAAAUAUUUGAAUUGUUUUUUUUUUUAAAUUAAAUUUUCAAACAUGUUUAACUAUAUAUAAAAAAUAAAAAUUUAUAUAAUAAUUAAGAAUGUACUUAGUUAGAAAGGGAACGUAAAGAUACUUUAAUUACUUGUCCAUGAUAAAUUUGUUAGGAAAAAUAAAAAUUUGAAGUAAGAUUAAGAAUUACAAAAUACAAAGACAAAAAAUCCUUGGAUCAAUUUUGAAUUUGAUUGUAUAAAUAGUUAAGUCCAUAUAAUUGUUCAAAUUUACCAAAAUGAACGAAAAUUUGUAAUGAAAAGUGAUAAUUGAAGGAUUUGAAGGACAAUUUUAUCAUUUUAUGACUUUAUCCCAAGUGAAAAUAUGGUGGGAUUAUUUAUACCACCCCUUAGGUUGGAUAACUUAUCCCGGUACUAAUUAUUAAUUCCAGGGUAAGUUAUCCCAAAUUUAACAACCAAACCUAGCAUUAAAAAAUUUAUUCCGAAAUUAUUAUUUUAUUUCGAGACUAUAUAUUUUAAUACCUCACACCAAACGUCCCCUAAAGAUAUUGAGGAAGGUAAAUAAACAGAAGUUUAUUUUAAGCAUUAAAGUAAGUUGAGCGAACAAGAUAGGGGGGAAAAUGUAGGAAAAUAUAUACGCAAUGUAACAUGUGGUACAAGAUAACUACAACAUUCAAUUGUAACAUGAAAAGAUUUAUAUGACUGUUAAUAGAACUUUAUUGAAGGGAAGAAAGGCUAAGGUUUACAAUAUAAUCUGAAAAACAUAAAACUAACUAAAACAAGAGUAGGCUAUAUAUACAUAGCCAAUAACCUAAAGGUCCAUAAACUAAAGGCCCAAUAACAUAUGGGCUAACAUCCCCCCUCAAACUCACAAUGCAACAGCAAUAAGCAUUGAGAGUUUGUCACACAAAAAACGAAAUCGAGAUGCCGACUGAGCCUUCGUAAAAAGGUCAGCAAUCUGCAAAGACGAUGGAACAAAAGGAAGCGAUAUGGUCCCGAGCUGUAAAUGAUGACGGGUGAAGUGACAAUCAAUCUCAAUGUGCUUCGUACGCUCAUGGAAGACAGAAUUCUUUGCAAUUUGUACCGCACUUUUGUUAUCACAAUGCAGGGGAGUAGGCAUAGAAAUGUGAACCCCCAUAUCUGCAAGAAGCCAACGUAACCAAAUAAUCUCACAUGUAGUCACAGCCAUAGCACGAUACUCAGCCUCCGUGGAAGAUCUAGAGACAACAUCUUGUUUCUUGCUCUUCCACGAGAUUAAAGAGUCUCCAAGAAACACACAAAAACCAGUGGUGGAUUUACGAUCAUUGCGAUCUCCAUCCCAAUCAGCAUCACUAUGGGCUCGCAACUCGAGAGAUGACGUCGAGGGAAACAAGAGAUUCUGAAACUGAGUGCCACGAAGAUACCUUAGAAUACGAAGUACAGCUCCCCAGUGCACAGAAGUAGGAGCAGUAACAAACUGGCUAACAACAUGAACUGCAUGUGCUAUAUCUGGACGAGUAACCGUAAGAUAAACCAAACUACCCACAAUAGUCCGAUAAAGACUCGGAUCUGAUAAUGGAACACCAUCACUAGGAGAGUAACGUGCAUUGGUUUCAAGGGGAGUAUCUACAGUCCUGUUGUCAGAAAGACGCGCCCGUGUAAACAAGUCAGAUAUAUACUUAGUCUGAGAAAGAAGAUACCCUUUCUUAGACUGAGCCACCUCAAUACCCAGAAAAUAACGCAGCAAGCCCAAGUCCUUCAUUGCAAAUCGAUGAGCCAAAUCAUGCUUCAAUAACUCAAUACCACUAUGAUCAUCACCAGUAAUAAUCAUAUCAUCUACAUAUAAGGACAAUAGAAUUCGCCCUGCACUUGUACAUCUAACAAACAAUGCUGAAUCAUGGUUACUCGGGACAAAUCCAAGGGAAGUAAUAACAGUGGAGAAUUUCUCAAACCAAGCACGAGGGGCUUGUUUGAGACCAUAUAAAGCUUUUCGAAGCCGACAAACUUCACCUGGCUGGUGGUCAAUACCUGGGGGAGGAGUCAUAUAAACUUCCGCGUGGAGAUCACCAUUCAGAAAAGCAUUCUUGACAUCCAUCUGAAAUAUCUUCCACUGUCGAACGGAUGCAACAGCAAUCAUAGUGCGAACAGUCGUCAUCUUUGCUACGGGGGAAAAAGUCUCCUCAUAAUCCAUACCAUAUUGUUGUGAAUACCCUUUUGCCACAAGUCUUGCCUUGUAUCGCUCAACAGACCCAUCAGAUUUUGUUUUUAUCUUAUACACCCAUCGACAACCAAUCGCAUGCUUACCAGGUGGGAGAGUAACCAAAUCCCAUGUAUGUGUAUGAUGAAGAGCAGCAAGUUCCUCAGCCAUAGCAUUCUGCCAAAGAGGAUCAGACACAGCCUCUCUAUACGACUCAGGUUCAGACAAAUGAUGUAUGUUUGCAAUAAAGGAAGCAAAUGAGGCUGAAUAUGUAGAAUAGUAAAAAUCUGGCAGUUUGGUGGACUUACAAGGUCGAGUAGACCUCCUCAGAGGUGGUGGGUCUCCAGUCUCAACAGUCGAAGGAGCAGACUCAGGCACAGGCGAGGCUGAAGCACUAUCAGGUGGCACACCAGAUGGCAUGGAUGAAUCCGGAACUGGAACCUCUAUGUCAAUCCCAAAGGGAUCAAUAAGCCGAAUAUCUGACUUUGUCACAUCAUGGGUUUUAGCUGGAAUGGAAUAAAAAGGAAUAUGUUCCAAAAAAGUGACAUGUCGUGAAACAUAUAAUUUCUGACUUACAGGAUCAUAGCAACGAUAUCCUUUUUGUCCAAUACCAUACCCCAAAAACACACAUAUAGCUGAUUUUGACCCUAACUUAUUUCGUUCAACAUGAGGACGAAGAACAAAGCAAGUACAUCCAAAAACUCGUAAUGCAGAAUAAUUCGGCGGGUGACCAUAUAGUUUCUCAAACGGAGACAUCCCUGAAGUCAAUGCAGUAGGAAUACGAUUAAUCACAUAUACAGCAGUUAGAACUGCUUCUCCCCAAAAAAUACUAGGAACCUCUGCAGACAAAAGUAAAGAGCGUGCUGUCUCAACAAUAUGACGAUGUUUUCUUUCUGCCAGACCGUUCUGCUCAGGAGUGUCGGUACAAGAUGACUGGUGUAUGGUACCAUCAGAGGCAAGUAACUGAGUGAAGUCAUUAGAGGUAUAUUCACCCCCUAAGUCACACCUGAAACACUUUAUCACAGCCGAAUGUUGUGUUUUAACAAGGGCUCUAAAGUUGUUGUAAAUGCCAAAGAAAUCAGAUCUGCGUUUCAUAAGAUACACCCAGGUAUAACGAGUAUAGUCAUCUAUAAACGAAACAUAAUAGGUCGAUCCACCCUUAGUGGAUACUGGCGCUGGUCCCCAUACAUCAGAAUGAAUAAUAUCAAAAGGAGCAACAGAAUAAGACACACUUUUAUUAAACGGUAAGGCAGAAAAUUUUGCCAGUUUACAACCACUACAAUCUGAAAUAUCACUAGUGUUCACAUGACCCAAAGCACCACUAGAGACCAAAAAACGUAAACGUGAAACUGACACAUGUCCUAAUCUGGAAUGCCAAAGAUAAAACUGAGAAGACAAAGGACUCAAACGAAAAGAAGAUAAAUCUAUGCUAGAGGCAGCAACUACAGACACUUUGAGAUUCUCCAAGACAUAGAGUUCCCCCAACCUACGGCCGGUCCCAAUCACCCUCUGAGUGUGUUGGUCCUGUAUAACACAAACAGAAUCAGAAAAAAACACCCAAUUACCAGCCUUACACAACUGACUGACCGAAACAAGAUUUAAAGCAAGUUUGGGAAUGUAAUAAACAUCAGAGAGGACAAUGUGAGGGGUAGUAACAGAACCAACACCCUCGACUGACAUAGGUACAGCACUCGCGGACAUAACAGAGAUUGGUGAAAUGGGUGACAAAGAACCAAACGAUGACAAAUGAGGGGACAUGUGAUGAGACGCACCAGAAUCCAAUAUCCACAAGGAGGAAGGAAUACCUGAGGUACUAGAAGAAACUGAACCCGAAUGAGACAUAGAUGCUGACAUGGCCGUAGGAUUAGAAACGAAGAACUGUCUGAACUGUUCGAAAACCUGGGGAUCCAACGCAGAAGGUGGCAUAGUGCUAACAGACUCAACAUCUACAGAUGGUGCAGCAGCAGCGAACUGUGGAGGACGAGAUGACCACGGAGGAGCACCAGAUGGGCGUGACGGAUACUUUUGCUGCCCAUAUUUCUGUUGCUGCCCAGAUUGAGGCUGUUUGACCUUGUUAAGUAACAACGGACACUGAGCCUUCCAAUGAUUUUUCUGUUUGCAGAAUGCACACUCAUCAAAUGCAACUUUAGGAGAUUGUCGAGUCUGAGUACGUGGUGGCCUAGACUGAUCAGUUGAAGCAGCAAACACGACAGGAGUAGUAGUUACUUUAGACCCUUUAUCCACUUGAGACUUGAUACGAGUCUCCUCUGCAAUCAGUUCAUGAACCACAGAAUCAACAGUAGGGAGGGGAGAUCGAUGAAGGAUUGUUCCACGUAGGCCCUCAAAGUCAGAACGUAGUGCCAUCAAAAACUGAACCAAGCGUUGCUCUUCCCGUCUAGCAAUGUACGGCCCAAAACCUUUUAACUCUGCAGAUUCAGUAAGUGCCAAUUGAUCCCACAAAUCCGACAUGGCAGCAUAAAAAUCUUGAAUACUGAGAUCAUGCUGUUGAAGAGCACGGAUAUCAUACUCCAACUGGUACUGCUUAGCAAAAUUAGACUGAGUGUACAGUCUUUCCAAAUGAUCCCAGACCUCCUUUGCUGUGUCAUACUUAGCCAAUUGCAUACCAAUUGACUGAGUUACAGAAUUGUUGAUCCAAGUGAUAAUCUUGGAGUUAUUAGUUUCCCAUAAGUCCACCAACAAAUCAAAAUUUUCAGUUUUAUCAUCGAUAGGUCUUGGUUUUACUCCAGUGAUAUAACCCCACAUAUUCUUCCCACGAAGAAAAUUCUUCAUGACAUAACUCCAAUAUGCAUAGUUCUUACCAUCUAAUUGAGUACUAAUGGACUGGAGAGAAUCAUCCUUUCCAGUCAUUGUAAACACAGCAACACACAAACAAUUCAAAAAACAAAAAGAUGCAAAACCCUAGGUUGAACAAUUCCGAACGAACAACAAUGGCAGCAAGCAAAAGAACGAAAGACGAACAAUACCAGACAGCAAACGAAGACAGCAACGAAUCAAUCCAACCAAAAAAACCCAACGAAAAUAGCAAACGAAUACAGCAGCACCUCAAAAAAAUUCGGGGCUCCGACCCGAACCCCGGACGGAGGCGCCCUGCCCCCCGUACAUAUUUUAAGGGUUACUGCUAGCUGUUCAUUAGUGUAUCUUUGACACUAGUUCUUGCAGAUAAGUUUGAACCUGUUCAUGAGGUGUAUGUGUUGAGUGAUACCAUGUUAAUAGAACUUUAUUGAAGGGAAGAAAGGCUAAGGUUUACAAUAUAAUCUGAAAAACAUAAAACUAACUAAAACAAGAGUAGGCUAUAUAUACAUAGCCAAUAACCUAAAGGUCCAAUAACAUAUGGGCUAACAAUGACAAAACUGCUGUUACCAUAUAGAAAAAUGGCAAGGAGCACACAUGGUGACGAACAGCUAUGCGCUUCUCCACUGUUCUAUAUACUAGAUUAGAUAUAAGAGUUUGUACUUGCAUGGCCCAAACAUAUGCUUUUUUUUCCUGAUAUAAAUAAAUUUUAAAGGUCAAUUAAAUUUUUUAUAUGAUUUCUAAACUUUUUAAAUUGUUAAUUAUAAUGAUAUAUAAAUUCUUUUGAUUUUUAUAUAGAUUUUAGAUAAUAUAUGUUACUCUCGUCAUUUUAAUUUACAUGACAUUGAUAAAAUUUGAAGAGUCAACUAAAUUUUUAAUAUAAUUUUAAGAUUUUUGUAUGAUUUUUUAAAUAUCUUAAGUAGCUAAUUAUUGUAAUUUAUAGUUUCUGCUACAAUUUUUUUUAAAAUAAUAUAUGUUACUCUCUCUAAUUUAUGUCGUAUUGAUAAAAUUUUGUGCGACAAUCAAAUUUUUAUACAUUUUUUAAUUUUGAGCCAUUAAUUAUUACAAUUUAAAGUAAUUUUAUGUAAUUUUUAAAUAUAUAAUAAUUAAAAAAUAAGACAAACAAUUAAAAUGAAAGAAAUAAUAAGAAAUUAUAUAGCGGUGUAGUAGAUGGUCGGCAAGCAUAUCGACCAUCACCUUCUUAUCACCACUUAUAAUAUAGUAGGACAAGAUGACUGCAGCAUGCAAUUGUAACAUGAAAAGCUUUAAGUGACAAAACUGCGCUUAUCAUAUUAAAGAAUGGCAAGAAGCACAAACGAACAACUGUGUGCUUCACUACUCUUCUAUGUAAUACUAAAUUAAGAGCCCGUGUUACCUUUUUUGUGAUACAAAUAAAUUUUUGACAGUAAACUAAAUUUUUUUCAUAGUUUUAAUUUAUUUUAAGUUAUUGAUCAUAAUGAUAUAUAAUACUUUUUUUUUAGAUUUAGAUAAUAUAUGUUACUUUUGUUGUUUCGAUUUAUGUGAUACUGAUAAAAUUUAAAAAGUCAACAAAAUUUUUAUAUAGUUUUAAGAUUUACCAUGUGAUUUUUUAAAUAUUUUAAGUUGUUAAUUAUUGUGAUUUAUAAUACUUCUACGUAAUUUUCAAAUAAUAUGAUACUCUCUCUGUCUCAAUUUAUGUGACACUGAGGAAUUAAAAGAGUCAACCAAAUUUUUUAUAUAUAAUUUUUACAUAUUUUCAGUUGUUAAUUAUUGUGAUUUAUAGUAUUUGCUACUAAUUACAACAGCAACAACAACAAACCCAGUGUAUUCCCACAUAGUGGGGUCUGGAAAGGGUAAGAUGUACGCAGUCCAUACCACUACCUUCGGAGAAGUAGAAAGACUGUUUUCGAUAGACCCCCAGCUCAAGACAAGGAAUAAUAAGUAAAUACGUAAUGUAUUUGCUACUAACUAAUUUUCAAAAUAAUAUAUGUUACUCCCUCUAUCUUAUGUAACUGUGAUAGUAUUUGAAGAAUGAAUUAAAAUUUUUAUUAGUCGCUAAAUAUUUUAAAUUGUUAAUUAUUAUAAUUUAAAAUAAUUUUAUAUAAUUUUUCAAUAUAUAUCAAAUUAAAAAUAAGAUAAUAAAUUAAAACAAAGGAAAUAAGAAAUUACAAAAAAGAGGCGACAGAAGCUGGCAGGACGACCACCACCUGCUUCCACCACUCUUCUAUGUAUGAGAAAAUAAAAUAAGUAAAGUAAUGUCAAGGGCUCAUUAAUGUUUUGGUUCAGAUAAUGUGCUGUCAUUAUUAUCUAUAUUUGAAGCAUUGGUUUUAACGUGCUUGCCGAUCAGUUGUUCCGUAAUUUUACUAUAUUAUUUUUAAUUAAUUAUUAUAAAUUAUUUAUAUAUUAAAUAUUAAUGAUAUUUAAUUAAAAUAAAAAAGAAAUAGACAUUUAUUACAUCUCUGUUUCAGCUAUUUCAAUUGUAAUUUUAGUAUAUUACCCCUAAUUAAUUAUAUAAGUCAUUUAUGUAUUAAAAAAAUAAUAAUAUUUAAUUAAAAAAAGAAAAAUAGGCGUUAUGACGUGUUUACUGCAGGUUCUUCAACCAUAAUUUUACCAAAUAUCACUCUUAAUUAAUUCUUACGAGUCAUCUAUAUAUUAAAAAUAAUAAUAAUAUUUGAUAAAAAAGAUAAAAUAGACAUAAAAUGAUAAAUCAACUCUUGAUGUUUCAAACUAAGUUGACGUCCUUCAACCGUGAUUUUACUAUAUCACCCGUAGUUAUUUAUUAUAAGUCAUUUAUGUAUAAGAAAAUUAAUAAUAUUUAAUUAAAAAAGAAACAAUAGACAUUUAUGACAUGUUUGCUUUAGCUGCUUCAACCGUAAUUUUACUAAAUAUCGCUCCUAAUUGAUUAUUGAGUUGUCUAAAUAUUAAAUAUUAAAAAUAUUUAAUAAAAAAGAUAAAAUAGACAUAAAAUAAUAAAUUAACUCUUGAUAUUUUGAAUUAAGUUAACGCCUUAUAUGAGGCUCACUUAAAUAUUUUCAAAAAUAUUUUUUAUAGUAAUUUUGCUAUAUCACUCUAAUUAGUCGUUGUAAGUAGGGGCGGGCAUGGUAUGGUAUAUAUCGAAUCAAAAUUUUUGAUGUAUAUAUAUAUAUAUAUAUAUAAUAUUAACAAAUAUACAACUUAUUAUUAGUAUGAAAAUGUUAAGACAUUGUAAUUUUGACUACUCUAUCUUGAUUGUAAUAUUUUUUGUGUAAUUGACUAACACAAUGAGUUGUUUGUACUUCUUUUUGAAUAUUUCUACACGUGUAACGCGAAAUUAAGAUACAAUUGAGACAUGAUUUUGAAAAGUCGAAGUAAUAAUACCCUAUUAUACGAGUAUAUAUUUUCAAAGUUGAACAAACUAUGAUUAACAUACUGCAAAAUAUCAAAUCGAACAUCAAAAUACCUAACCAUACCGAAUUAAUAUGAUAUGGUAUAGUGUUUUUAAAAAUCAAAUACCGAAAUUAUCAUACCGAAGUUUCAAAUAUUAUACCAUAACAUACCAUGCCCACCCCUAGUUGUCAGCCAUUAAAGACAUUUCUGCUUCGCUGCUUCAAUCGUGAUUUUACUAAAUCAUGCCUAAUUAGUUAUUAUGGUCGUCUAAGCAUUGUUGUCACUUAAAUGACAUUUGUGAUCUAUUACCUAACUUAUAAAUGAUGAUAAUCAGGUAGCAGAUCGACAUGUUUGCUUGUGUUGCCUACUUAGAUAUUUCCUUUUAUAUUUGUUUAUACUACUUUUUAUUUUAAUUUAUUAUAUAUUUGAGAAUUACGUAAAAUAUAAAUUAUAAUAAUUAAUAACUUAAAAUAAUCAAAAAGACGUAAAAAAUUCUGGUUGACUCUCUAAAUUUUAUUACUGCCACAUAAAUUGGCACAUAAAAAAAUCAUUAUAAAUCACAAUAAUUAAUAAUUUAAAAUAUUUUAAAAAUAUGUAAAAAAUAAAUUGUUAACUCUGAAAAAUUGUAUCAAUACAACAUAAAUUGAAACAGAGGUUAUAACAUAUAUUAUUUAAAAAAUUACGUAAAAAGUGUUAUAAAUCACAAUAGUUAAUCUAAAAAUGUUCUUCACGUUGGGCUCGUGCUAACACGGGCCAUAUACCCUCUAGUUUAGUUAUAUUCGUGUGAUUAUGAAAUAUUUGUUGCUUGCUUACAUACACGUAUGGGUAAACUACAUAAAUGACCCUUAUAGUGUGUGACUUUAUUUUUUUGUCCCUCAUAAAAAUAGUCUUAUAAAACUAGCCUCCCUUCUUUUUAUAUACAACACAAUUAUCUAUUUACCCCUCAAUAUAUCAAAUAUUUCUAAACAACUCCAUGUUUAUUUAUAGUUCAGCUUUUAUUUUUUUCUUUUACUUUAAUUUGUAUCUUUUCUUUUCUCUCUCUCUCUUUUUUUUUUUAUAGUUUUUCUCAAUGCUAACUUUUUUCCUUUUCUCAUCUCAACUUCUAUUUUUAAUUUUUUUUUAACUUUGAUUUUUCUUUUUUUUUUUUUUAGUUUUUUUCAACCCUUCUUUUUUCUUUUCUCCUCUCUACUUCUAUUUAAUUUUUUAAAUUUUUUCAAAAUUUUUUAUUUUUAUUUUUAUUUUUCUAUUUUUUUAUUUUUUAAUUUUCUCAAUUUUUAUUUUCGUUUUAUCUCUUUUUUAUUUUUUCAUCUUUAUUUUUUUUUAUUUUCUUCCCUUAGCUUCUAUAUUUUCGUUAGUUUUCUUUUUUAUUUUCUUUGAUUUUUAUUUUCUCUCUUUUUUUUAAAUAUUUUUCUUCAUUUUCUACCUUUUUUUAUAAUUUUUAUUAUUUUGUUUCCAUUUCUUUCAAUCAAGUUACGCUCCAUGAGUAAGAGUUGACACUACUACAUUAUAGAGGCAAGACUUAUGAUUAAACAAAAAGUUACAUUUCAUGGCAAGAGUUGACACUAUCACAUUGUGUUUUGAUUCAUGAGAUGUUCUAUAACUCUUACCUUAGAGUCAUGAUUUAGUUCAAGGGCUUUCAAACAAUAAAUUAUGCCAGGUGAGCAAGAGUUGACUCUACCAUGUUAUGUUUCAUUUAUGAGAUAUUCUACAACUCUUGCCUUAGAGACAAGACUUAGCUCAUGGACUUUCAAAUAAUAACUUAUGCCCCACAGACAAGAGUUGACACUUCCACGUUAUGUCUUUAUUUAUGAGAUGUUCUACAACUCUUUCCUUAAAGACAAGACUUAACUGAAGGACUUUCAAACGAUAAAUUAUGCUCCAAGGGCAAGAGUUGACACUACUACUCCAUGUUUUUAUUUAUGAGAUGUUCUACAACUCUUGCCUUAGAGGCAAGACUUAGCUCAAAGACUUUCAAACAAUAAUUUAUUUCCCAUGGGAAAGAGUUGACACUACUACAUUAUGUCUUCAUUUAUGAGAUGUUCUACAACUUUUGCCUUAGGGGCACGACUUAUUCUAAGAACUUUCAAAUAAGUUACGUACAUUGGAUAAGAGUCAACACUAACACAUUGUAUUUUUAACUUAUGAAAUGCUCUAUAACUCCUGUCUUACAGGUACGAAUCAACCCAAGGGCUAUCAAACAACAAGUUAUGAUCCAUUGGCAAGAGUUGACACCACCACGUUGUAUAUUGAUUUAUAAGAUGCUUUAUAACUCUUCCCUUAGAGGAAAGACUUAGACUAAGGGCUUUCAAGCAUUAACUUGUGCCCUAUGGGCAAGAGUUGACAUUACCACAUUGUGUUUUGAUUAAUGAGAUAUUCUAUAACUCUUGCCUUAGAGGCAAGACCUAACCCAAGAAUUUUCAAAAAUAAGUUACACCCCAUGGGUAAGAGUUGACACUAUCACAUUAUAUUUUGAUUUAUGAUAUAUUCUAUAACUCUUGCUGUAAUACCCCGAAAAUUUUUUCAUUGAAAUUUUGUGCGUAAACGUGUUGGGUUCUAUCUUCUAGAAUGAAUUAUAAAUUUUUCAUGCAGAAUGUCUUAGAUUAUGACUCACCAUUGCGUAGAGUAUCGAAUAAGAUUUCCAAUGAUAUAUGGAUCAUCCAAAACGGACACCCGAGCGAUGAGUUAUGAACAUUCCGAUUGUGCCGUGAAUAGUAGUGAACAGUAAAAUGUGCAGGAAAAAGUACUGAGGCCUGACGUAUUUUUGCUCCAACUUUAAAUGAUCAUAACUCCUUGUACAUAAUGAUCUGGAUGAUCUACUAUAUAUCAAUGGAAAGCUCUGCGAGUCUCUUUCCAAUGAAAUUAGUUUCAUCCAAUUUGUCUACCGGAGCAAAAAGUUAUGGUCGAUCUACUUCAGCCUAUCAAAAGUAAAUUUUUGGGUCAACUUCAAACGAUCAUAACUCCUCGUACACAAUGAUCUGGAUGAUAUACUAUAUAUCAAUAGAAAUAUACGAGAGUCCUUUUUCUAAUGAAAUUGUUUCAUACAAUUUGGAUACCGGAGUAAAACGUUAUGGUUGAUCUACUUCAGACUAUCAAAACAGUCCACCAAAGGACAGAUUCGAGAAUUAUUUGAUUUUUAGGGGCUUUUUGGUCAUUCUCCCUCACCCAAAAUCCGUCCAAACCCUAUAUUAAAGCCUAUUAGAAGCAUUAUAUGUUAUAUUUCAUCAAAUUCUCUCAAAAAGAAACCCUAAGCUCCUACAUCCAACUUCAAGAACCUCCAAAGUUCACCAUUAAUUCUGCAAAUUUAUUCAAGAUUCCAAGUUCCUAGUUCAAGAACUCCAAGAACCAUCAUUCAAAGGCACGAUUAACAUCUCAAAAAUGAGUAUCGAUCUAAAGUUCAUCAUUCAAGGUAUGUGGGGUUUUUCAACAAGAACUCUCUUUCGUUCUUGUGCCCAAAAGUAAUUUUCUUUACAAAGGCAUGAUUUUUAUUUGAUUUUUAUGAAUUUGAAGCAUGAACCCAUAUCUUAUGAUGAUUAUUAUGAAAUCUUGAUGUUUAUGAUUUUGAAAGAUGAAUUUACAUGUGUGGAGAUAUAAAGCAUGAAUCUUGAACGAUAUUUAUCAUGAUUUUGAUAUUUGGGUCAUGAAUCCCCAUUGGAAAUUNNNNNNNNNNNNNNNNNNNNNNNNNNNNNNNNNNNNNNNNNNNNNNNNNNNNNNNNNNNNNNNNNNNNNNNNNNNNNNNNNNNNNNNNNNNNNNNNNNNNNNNNNNNNNNNNNNNNNNNNNNNNNNNNNNNNNNNNNNNNNNNNNNNNNNNNNNNNNNNNNNNNNNNNNNNNNNNNNNNNNNNNNNNNNNNNNNNNNNNNNNNNNNNNNNNNNNNNNNNNNNNNNNNNNNNNNNNNNNNNNNNNNNNNNNNNNNNNNNNNNNNNNNNNNNNNNNNNNNNNNNNNNNNNNNNNNNNNNNNNNNNNNNNNNNNNNNNNNNNNNNNNNNNNNNNNNNNNNNNNNNNNNNNNNNNNNNNNNNNNNNNNNNNNNNNNNNNNNNNNNNNNNNNNNNNNNNNNNNNNNNNNNNNNNNNNNNNNNNNNNNNNNNNNNNNNNNNNNNNNNNNNNNNNNNNNNNNNNNNNNNNNNNNNNNNNNNNNNNNNNNNNNNNNNNNNNNNNNNNNNNNNNNNNNNNNNNNNNNNNNNNNNNNNNNNNNNNNNNNNNNNNNNNNNNNNNNNNNNNNNNNNNNNNNNNNNNNNNNNNNNNNNNNNNNNNNNNNNNNNNNNNNNNNNNNNNNNNNNNNNNNNNNNNNNNNNNNNNNNNNNNNNNNNNNNNNNNNNNNNNNNNNNNNNNNNNNNNNNNNNNNNNNNNNNNNNNNNNNNNNNNNNNNNNNNNNNNNNNNNNNNNNNNNNNNNNNNNNNNNNNNNNNNNNNNNNNNNNNNNNNNNNNNNNNNNNNNNNNNNNNNNNNNNNNNNGUAUAGAUAUUAGGAGUUGACUAAUAAGUCAUAUUUUAUUAUCUUUCUGAAAUUCUUUUAUUCUUGGAUGAUGAUUACUCUGUUGAUAUUUUAGGGUUAUUUAUGAAAACCCCAUUGAUUUGUAUUGAACUAAAUAAAAAUGGCUCGAAGGGUUAGCUUGGGGCUACUCAUAGCCUCAAGCACCGUGUGACGCUCCGGGACCCGUUUUUUGGGGUGUUACAAACUUGGUAUCAGAGCCUAAGGUUUUAAGGUGUCCUAGGGAGUCUGACAAACUGCGUUAAGUAGAGUCUUGAUCAUCAGUGUGUAGCGUGCCACAUCUAUGAGAAAGAGGCUACAAGACGUUUUAGGAAAAAGUAUGAUUCUUUCUUUUCAGAAUCUAUCAUACUUAAAGUGUCUCUCUCUGCUAUUGAUUCGUGCUAUCCUCUUUUAGAAAUAUGCCUCAACGUCGAGCGAGAAGAAAUAAUGAUGGUCAGCAACUUCAACCCGCUGACCCAUUGAAUGAAAACGUAUCUCAUGCUUAAUUUCAAGCAGCCUUUCAGGCGCUGGCCCAAGAUGUUAUUCUCAUAUGUUACACCUUUAAUUGCUAUGAAUUUUGAAAUUAGUCCUGAGAUUAUUCCUGAGCCUAUCGUAGUUUCUACCCUAGUGGGUGAUUCGAUUGUUGCCCAGAAAGUGUAUAAAAAGUGUCCUGUUAUCGUUUUUCAUAGUCUUGUUGGCUGAUCUGAUUGAGUUAGACAUAGUAGAUUUUGAUGUGAUUCUGGGUAUGGACUGACUGUAUUCUUCUUAUGCCUCUAAUGAUUGUCAGACCUGAGUGGUCAAGUUUCAUUUUUCGGGUGCAUUCGUGUUUGAGUGGUCUGGGAAUUCUGUGUCACCCAAGAGUCAUUUUAUCUCUUCCUUCAAAGCUAAAAAGCUUAUUUCGAAGGGGUGUAUUUACCAUUUGGUUAGAGUCAAAGACACUAAGUCUGAGACUCCAACUCUCCAGUCUGUUAACGUCGUCAAUGAGUUUUCUGAUGUCUUUCCGGGAGUAUAACAUCCCGAAAACCGCUUUCCGAACUAGUUAUGGCCAUUUUGAGUUUUUUGUUAUGUCUUUCGAGUUAACAAAUGCCCCAGCAGCUUUCAUGGACCUCAUGAAUCGGGUGUUCAGAUCAUAUCUGGAUAUGUUGGUCGUAGUGUUCAUCGAUGAUAUACUGGUGUACUCCCGUAGUGAGGAUGAACAUUCUGAUCAUCUUCGAACUGUCUUGCAAACCCUUAGAGAUCACAAGUUAUUUGCCAAGUUCAGUAAGUGUGAGUUUUGNNNNNNNNNNNNNNNNNNNNNNNNNNNNNNNNNNNNNNNNNNNNNNNNNNNNNNNNNNNNNNNNNNNNNNNNNNNNNNNNNNNNNNNNNNNNNNNNNNNNNNNNNNNNNNNNNNNNNNNNNNNNNNNNNNNNNNNNNNNNNNNNNNNNNNNNNNNNNNNNNNNNNNNNNNNNNNNNNNNNNNNNNNNNNNNNNNNNNNNNNNNNNNNNNNNNNNNNNNNNNNNNNNNNNNNNNNNNNNNNNNNNNNNNNNNNNNNNNNNNNNNNNNNNNNNNNNNNNNNNNNNNNNNNNNNNNNNNNNNNNNNNNNNNNNNNNNNNNNNNNNNNNNNNNNNNNNNNNNNNNNNNNNNNNNNNNNNNNNNNNNNNNNNNNNNNNNNNNNNNNNNNNNNNNNNNNNNNNNNNNNNNNNNNNNNNNNNNNNNNNNNNNNNNNNNNNNNNNNNNNNNNNNNNNNNNNNNNNNNNNNNNNNNNNNNNNNNNNNNNNNNNNNNNNNNNNNNNNNNNNNNNNNNNNNNNNNNNNNNNNNNNNNNNNNNNNNNNNNNNNNNNNNNNNNNNNNNNNNNNNNNNNNNNNNNNNNNNNNNNNNNNNNNNNNNNNNNNNNNNNNNNNNNNNNNNNNNNNNNNNNNNNNNNNNNNNNNNNNNNNNNNNNNNNNNNNNNNNNNNNNNNNNNNNNNNNNNNNNNNNNNNNNNNNNNNNNNNNNNNNNNNNNNNNNNNNNNNNNNNNNNNNNNNNNNNNNNNNNNNNNNNNNNNNNNNNNNNNNNNNNNNNNNNNNNNNNNNNNNNNNNNNNNNNNNNNNNNNNNNNNNNNNNNNNNNNNNNNNNNNNNNNNNNNNNNNNNNNNNNNNNNNNNNNNNNNNNNNNNNNNNNNNNNNNNNNNNNNNNNNNNNNNNNNNNNNNNNNNNNNNNNNNNNNNNNNNNNNNNNNNNNNNNNNNNNNNNNNNNNNNNNNNNNNNNNNNNNNNNNNNNNNNNNNNNNNNNNNNNNNNNNNNNNNNNNNNNNNNNNNNNNNNNNNNNNNNNNNNNNNNNNNNNNNNNNNNNNNNNNNNNNNNNNNNNNNNAAGGGGGAGAUGGUGUGUUGAGAUUGCAGGGUAGAUUGUGUGUCCCGAAUGUUGAUAAUCUGAGAUAGAGGAUUAUGGCUGAAGCGCACGGGGCAUGCUAUUCUAUUUAUCCUGGUGCCACCAAGAUGUACCGAGGCUUGCGGGUUUGUAGCUAAGUGUGCUACAUGCCAACAGGUUAAGGUUGAACAUCAAAGACCUGGUGGUAUGAUGCAAGAGUUUAGUAUUCGUAUCUGGAAGUGGGAAGAGAUAAAUAUGGACUUCAUGAUUGGUUUACCUCCUUCCCGACGCCAUCAUGAUUCCAUUUGGGUUGUGGUUGAUAGGUUGACUAAGUCUGCUCAUUUCUUUCCUGUUCAUACUUCGUAUACUGUUGAGGAUUACACUAGAUUGUAUAUCCGAGAGCUAGUCAGACUGCAUGGAGUUCCCUUGUCUAUCAUUUUGGAUAGGGGUACUCAGUUCACUUCGUAAUUUUGGAAAGCUUUUCAGAAGGGUCUUUGUACCCAAGUGCUUUUGAGUUCUUCUUUUCAUCCCCAGAUCGAUGGUCAGGCUGAGCGGACCAUCCAGGCCUUAAAGGAUAUGUUGAGAGCUUGUACACUUGACUUUAAGGGAAGUUGGGAUGAUCACUUACCGUUGAUAGAGUUUGCUUACAAUAACAGUUUCCACUCUAGUAUUGGCAUGGCUCCAUUUGAAGCCUUAUAUGGGAGGAAGUGUAGAUUACCCAUAGGUUGGUUAGAGGUGGGUGAAGUGGCUGUGAGUGGUCCUGAUUUCGUAUUUGAGGCUAUGGAAAAAGUUAAGUUGAUUAGGGAAAGGUUAAAAACUGCGCAGAGUCGUCAAAAGUCAUAUAUGGAUGUUACAAGGAGAGACCUUGAGUUUGAAGUUGGCGACCUAGUGUAUCUGAAAAUUUCACCCAUGAGGGGGGUGAAGAGAUUCGGAAAGAAGGGGAAGCUUAGUCCCCNNNNNNNNNNNNNNNNNNNNNNNNNNNNNNNNNNNNNNNNNNNNNNNNNNNNNNNNNNNNNNNNNNNNNNNNNNNNNNNNNNNNNNNNNNNNNNNNNNNNNNNNNNNNNNNNNNNNNNNNNNNNNNNNNNNNNNNNNNNNNNNNNNNNNNNNNNNNNNNNNNNNNNNNNNNNNNNNNNNNNNNNNNNNNNNNNNNNNNNNNNNNNNNNNNNNNNNNNNNNNNNNNNNNNNNNNNNNNNNNNNNNNNNNNNNNNNNNNNNNNNNNNNNNNNNNNNNNNNNNNNNNNNNNNNNNNNNNNNNNNNNNNNNNNNNNNNNNNNNNNNNNNNNNNNNNNNNNNNNNNNNNNNNNNNNNNNNNNNNNNNNNNNNNNNNNNNNNNNNNNNNNNNNNNNNNNNNNNNNNNNNNNNNNNNNNNNNNNNNNNNNNNNNNNNNNNNNNNNNNNNNNNNNNNNNNNNNNNNNNNNNNNNNNNNNNNNNNNNNNNNNNNNNNNNNNNNNNNNNNNNNNNNNNNNNNNNNNNNNNNNNNNNNNNUUGAAUUUAUGCAUUCUAUGUUGCAUUCGGAGUGAGAAACGAUGUGGUGAUGAGUCUAAUGAAUGGUUUCAGCUAUAUGCUAUAUUCCCUAUCUAAUCUUGGCAUGUCUAGCAUCAUUCGAGGAUGAAUGUUUUCAAGGGGGAAUGAUGUAAUACCCCGAGAAAUUUUGUGCGUAAACGUGUUGGGUUCUAUCUUCUAGAAUGAAUUAUAAAUUUUCUGUGCGGAAUGUCUUAGAUUAUGACCCAUAAUUGCGUAGAGUAUCGAAUAAGAUUUCGAACAAUAUGUGGAUCAUCCAAAACGGGCACCCAAACGAUGAGUUAUGAACGUUCCGAUCGAACCGUGAAUAGUAGUGAACAGUAAAACGUGCAGGAAAAAAUACUGAGGCCUGGCGAAUUUUUUCUCUAACUUUAAAUGAUCAUAACUACUUGUACAUAAUGAUCUGGGUGAUCUACUAUAUAUCAACGAAAAGCUCUGCGAGUCCUCUUUCCAAUGAAAUUAGUUUCAUUCAAUUUUUCUAUCGAAACUAAAAGUUAUGGUCAAUCUACUUCAGUCUAUCAAAGCAAAUUUUUUGGUCAAUUUUAAACGAUCAUAACUCUUCGUACACAAUGAUCUGGGUGAGAUACUACAUAUCAACGGAAAGAUAUGAGAGUCCUCUUUCUAAUGAAAUUAGUUUCAUCGAAUUUGGAUAUCAGAGUAAAACGUAUGAUUGAUCUACUUCAAACUAUCAAAACAGUCCACCAAAGGACAGAUUCAAAAAUUAUUUGAUUUUUAGGGGCGUUUUGGUCAUUUCCCCUCACCCCUAAUCCAUCCAAGCCCUAUAUCAAAGCCUAUUAGAAGCAUUAUAUGUUAUAUUUCAUCAAAUUCUCUCAAAAAAAAAAUCCUAAGCUCCUACAUCCAACUUCAAGAACCUCCAAAGUUCACCAUUAAUUCUGCAAAUUUAUUCAAGAUUCCAAGUUCCUAGUUCAAGAACUCCAAGAACCAUCAUUCAAAGACACGAUUAACAUCUCAAAAAUGAGUAUCGAUCUAAAGUUCAUCAUUCAAGGUAUGUGGGGUUUUUCAACAAGAACUGUCUUUCGUUCUUUUGCCCAAAAGUAAUUUUGUUUGCAAAGGUAUGAUUUUUAUUUGAUUUUUACGAAUUUGAAGCAUAAACUCAUAUCUUAUGAUGAUUAUUAUGAAAUCUUGAUGUUUAUGAUUUUGAAAGAUGAAUUUAUAUGUGUGGAGAUAUAAAGCAUGAAUCUUGAAUGAUAUUUAUCAUGAUUUUGAUAUUUGAGUCGUNNNNNNNNNNNNNNNNNNNNNNNNNNNNNNNNNNNNNNNNNNNNNNNNNNNNNNNNNNNNNNNNNNNNNNNNNNNNNNNNNNNNNNNNNNNNNNNNNNNNNNNNNNNNNNNNNNNNNNNNNNNNNNNNNNNNNNNNNNNNNNNNNNNNNNNNNNNNNNNNNNNNNNNNNNNNNNNNNNNNNNNNNNNNNNNNNNNNNNNNNNNNNNNNNNNNNNNNNNNNNNNNNNNNNNNNNNNNNNNNNNNNNNNNNNNNNNNNNNNNNNNNNNNNNNNNNNNNNNNNNNNNNNGUGUGUUUCUUUGUGUCUAUGGUGAAUGGUGAAGUAAUUUGAAAGUGGAAUUGUGAAGGUUAUUCUUUCAAAAUAUUUAAAUGAUAUUUAUGUUAUGAGAAUUGAUAUUCUUGAUGAACUGAAAGUGAUUGACAAAUUAUAUGAUGACUCACAUGUGUAUUGUACUUAUUUUAUCCUCUCAUGAUUAUGAUGAUUUUCUUCGGGCUAUGUGAGUAUUUCAUACAUCCUGUAUUUUUUUUUAUAAAUAUUUAUGAUGAUGAUGUUUAUAUAACUGCAUACACCCCCAUAUACUCGGUUCCUUUCUAUGGUACUGACCCACAUCUUCGGAUGUGGGCUGCAUUUUCUCGGAAUAUAGGUUCACGUGCUCAGUUCCAGGUUCGACAGUGAUUCCUUGGGAACACUGUUCUACAUUCUCUGUUUUGGUGAGUCCUCAUGUUCCAAGGACGUGAUGUUUGAUGUUGAUUUCUCGGAAUUGUUUACAUUUGAUAACUGAGUAUGAGUCAGUUGGGGCAUGUCUCAAUGGCUCGCUGGUUUUAUUGAUUUUCUUAGAGGCUUGUCAGACUAGUAUAGAUGUUGGGAGUUGACUAAUAAGUCGUAUUUUGUUAUCUUUUUGAAAUUCUUUUAUUCUUGGAUGAUGAUUACUCUGUUGAUAUUUGAGGGUUAUUUAUGGAAACCCCAUUGAUUUAUGUUGAACUGAAUGAAAAUGGCUCAAAGGGUUAGCUUGGGCCUACUCAUAGCCUCAAGCAUCGUGUGACGUUCCGGGACCCAUUUUUUGGGGCGUUACACUUGCCUUAGAGGCAAGACUUAGCCCAAGGUCUUUUAAACAACAAGUUACGCUCCAUGGGCAAGAUUUGACACUAUCACGCUGCGCCUUGGUUUAUGAGAUGUUUUAUAAAUUAAGGACUUUCAAACAACAAGUUAUGCCCCAUGGGUAAGAGUUAAUACUACCACAUUAUGUCUUCUAUAACUCUUGCCUUAGAGGUAUGAAUUAGUUCAAGGACUUUCAAACAGUAAGUUACGCCCCACGGGCAAGAGUUAACACUACUACAUCGUGUUUUGAAUUAUGAAAUAAUCUAUAACUCUUGCUUUAGAAGCAAGACUUAACUCAAGGAUUUAAAAUAACAAGUUAUGCUCCACAAGCAAGACUUGACACUACCACAUUGUGUCAUGAUUUAUGAGUUGUUCUAUAAUCAACAAGUCAUACCCUUAAAUUUGCUUUGAUGUCAAAAAAGAAGACCCCUUUGCGGAUUCUUUAAUUUGUUUUUAUUUUUUUAGCAUAAUAUAAUAAAAGUUGAGAAAAAGAAAAAAGAGAAGAAUAAAUAACCCAAAAAAAAUUAAAAAAAAAGAUUGAGAAAAAAAAACAUGAAAAUAAAAAAUAAAAAUAAUGUUUGAGAAAAAUAAAAAAUAAAAAAAAUGAGAAAUGAUAAAAAAUGAAAAAAAUAAAAAAUAAAUAUUGAUCUCAAUUUUUGAGAUAAAUAAAUAAAUAAAUAAUGUUUGAUCAAACAUUUCAUAAAUAAUUUCAUAAAAUAAAUGUUUCAUAAAUGUUUGAGAAAUAAAUGUUUAGAGAGAGAGAGAAAUGAAGAAAUAAAUAAUGUUUGAGAAGAAAAAGAAAAAUUUAUGAAAUAAUUUAUAACUCUUGCUUUAGAAGCAAGACUUAGCUCAAGGAUUUAAAACAACAAGUUAUGCUCCACAAGCAAGACUUGACACUACCACAUUGUGUCUUGAUUUAUGAGUUGUUCUAUAAUCAACAAGUCAUACCCUUAAAUUUGCUUUGAUGUCAAAAAAGAAGAUCCCUCUGUGGAUUCUCCAAUUUUUUUUUUUUAAGCAAAAUAUAAUAGAAGUUGAGAAAAGAGAAAAAAGAGAACAAACAAAAUAGAAAACUUAAAAAAGGGAUUGAGAAAAAAAGACAAUAACAUAAAGGUUAAGAAAAAAGAGAAGAAUAAAUAACCAAAAAAAUUAAAAAAAAAGAUUGAGAAAAACAAACAUGAAAAUAAAAAAUAAAAAUAAUGUUUGAGAAAAAGAAAAAAAGAAAAAAAGAGAAAUGGUAAUAAACAAAAAAAAUAAAAAAUAAAGAUUGAGAUCAAUGAAUUUAAAAGAGACAGAGAGAGAGAAAGAGAGAGAGAGAGAGAGAAAUGAAGAAAUAAAUAAUGUUUGAGAAGAAAAAGAAAAAUGAGAAAAAAAUAAAACUUGAGAAAAAUGAAUUAAAACAGAAAAAAAAUAAAAGUUAAGGUAAAAAAAUUAAAAUAGAAGUUGGGAGACAAAUGAGAAUGAAAAGUUUAAAAAUCUUUGAGGUUUAGAGGGAUAAAAUUGUACUUGUACUAUACAUAAAAGAGAAGAAAGAUUAUUUUUUAAAGACUUUUCUCAUGGAGGUCAAAAAUCCAAAACCAUCCACUUUUGGGGUCAUCCCAUGUAACUUCCUCUACACGUAUGAAAUAUAUAACACCAGUUCUCAUUAGUAAUUAUCCGAAUUGUAGACUUAUAGUUCCACUCAUGCAUGAUUCUUCAACUGAAAUAUUUUACUAUAUAUAGUAAGAGGGAGUUAAGCUGCUUAAGUAGGCACAAGAUUGACAUGCCUACUUCAGCUGCUUCGAUUGUAAUUUUACUAUGUCACUCCUAAUUAAUUAUUAUAAGUCAUUUAAAUAUUAAAAAAUUAAUAAUAUUCAAUAUAAAAAGUCAAAUAGACAUUUCUGAUAUGUCUACUUCAGGUGCUUCAACCGUAAUUUUACUGUAUCACCCUUAAUUAAUUAUUAUAAGUCAUUUAAGUAUUAAAAAAUUAAUAAUAUUUAAUAAAAAACACAAAAGACAUAAAAUGAUAAAUUAACUCUUAAUGUUAUAAAUUAACUUGACGUCUUAUAUGGGGCUCAGUUAAAUUUUUUUCACAAGUAUUUUUUAUGAUAAUUUUGCUAUAUCACUUCUAAUUAGUUAUUAGAAGUCAUUUAAGACAUGUUUGUUUCACUGCUUUAAUCAUGAUUUUAAUAUAUCGCCCCUGUUAAUUAUUAUGGUUAUCUAAGCAUUGAAAAAUUAAUAAUAUUUCAUAAAAAGGUAACAUAGAUACAAACUGAUAUAUCAAUAUAAAAAAAUUGAUUCACUAUCGAAAUUGUGUUAGUGUCAUUUAAAUUGGGAUGGGACAGAGGAAGACAUAAAGUAACAUAUAUUAUUUGAAAAUGUGGUAAAAAGUAUUAUAAAUCACACUAAUUAAGAACUUAAUAUUAACAACAACAACAUCAUACCCAGUGUAUUUCUACCUAGUGGGGUCUGGGGAGGGUAGAGAGUACGCAGUCCAUACCACUAUCUCAGGUGCAGUAGAGAGGCUGUUUUCGAUAAACCCCAGACUUAGAACCAAUAACAAUAUAACAAACACAAAACAUAAAUAUAUAUAAACUAAUAAUACUAGCCAUAAGAUAAUACUAGACCCACAGGGUAAUACUAAAACUAUAAAUUUGAAACCAUAGACAACAAUCAACACCACGAACAAGAAACUCCAGAAACAAAAAAGCACACUCCCCUACUGUUACCGACACACUCCCACCCCCAACCCUCUACUCUAAUCCACCUCCUCCAUACCUUCUUAUCAAGGAUCAUGUCCUCUGUAAGCCGUAACUGCUCCAUAUCAUGCCUAAUCACCCCCUUCCAAUAUUUCUUAUCAAGGAUCAUGUCAUCAUCAAAUAACAUACGUGUCUGCUUCAAUCAUUAUUUUAUUGUAUCACCCCUAAUUGAUUAUUAUAAUCCAUCUAAUUAUUAAAAAAUUAAUUAAUAUUUAAUAAAAAAUAAACUAGACAUAAAAUGAUAAAUUAACUCUUAAUGUUUUAAAUUAACUUGACGUCUUAUAUGAUGUCUACUUAAAUUAUUGACCAUGGAUAUUUUUUAUAGUAAUUUUGCAAUAUCAUUUCUAAUUAGUUAUUAUAAGUCAUAUAAGACAUCAGUUUCGUUGUUGUAACGAUCUAAAAAUUUGAUGAAAUAUGUGAAAUUUGUGAUUUGACUAUUUUACCCCUUUCCUUAGUUAUAUUAUGGUAUUUAUGGGGUGUGGGAGUGAUUGGCAUGAUUUUCGAUGCAUUUUGAUACAAUUUAUGUGAUAUUGUGAUUUUUGAUGGGUUCGAGAGUCUUAUUUUGGACUUAUGUGGAUAUCUUUUGAUCUGUGCGAUGGAUGACUGAACGGAAUGCGCCAAAAGCUCUAAAAUAUCAAUUUUAGGCUAGGAAGACCUUUGGUUUGGAUCCCGGUACACCCGAACUCAUUUUGACCUAUUGAUCGGAAAGUUGAAAAAUUAAAAAUAUGAGUGUCGGACCCACAUUUUAUUGAAAUGACCUUAGAUGGAAAGUCUGACCUCGUCAGUAAAUCUGAAAUGUCAAUUUUACGAUGGUAACAUAUUUGGUGUGAUUUUAUAGCUUUUAAAUCUCAUUUUGACCCUCGGUUUAAAAAAAUGUGAUUUCGGAUUUUGGGGGUCAACUUUGUGAAAAUGAUAUUUUUUUGAAAAUCUGACUUCUCAACGCGCCUAGAAUGUUAAAUUUAGUAUAUUUACAUAGUUUAUUUGUGUAUACGAACUUUGAAUGAAUCCCGAGCACCCCGUCAAAGUCUGGAUUGACUUUAAAAAAAACUACUGCUAUAAUAGAUUUUCUGCUAUAAAUUACAGAUUUUCAUCUCUUUGUGGCUAUUUUGCUCAUUUUUUAUUUUGCAUCUUGAGAGCUAAACCCUAAAAUAGGGUAGAAUCUUAAAAAUGCAGCCUGUGGGUGCUUGGAUAGCUAGAUUAACAUCUAUUUCUUGGUUUUAUUACAGAUUUAAGGUAAGAAUUUACCCUUUUCUUAGUAAUUUCUUGAUUAAUUUCUUAAAAUUUCAAAUAUCUCAGGGCUUGAUUUUAAACCUCAAUUUUGUUUAUUUUAACUUGAAUAAUAUUUUUAUCUUAUAAUUACUAUUUUUUCAUCAAUUUAACCUUCAAAACAACUUUAAUUAAUAAUUUUAACCCAAAUUUCAAAGAUUUUACCCGGUAAAGCUUAAAAAUGGUUUUUCUUCAAUUUGAACCUUGUUUUUGACUCGAUUUGACUUGGAGUUUCAAUAGUAGGUUUCUAAAAAUAUGAGAAACAUGUUUUUGAAUUAAAGUUUCAAUUUUGCCCUUCUUUUUUUAAAAUCCAUUUCGGAGGUUCAUUUUAACCAUGAAUCAAGGUAGUGAAUAUGAGUGUUGUUGGUUUUGUUUUGAUGUGAAGAUUCCAUAUUUGAUGUUUUCAGUCUAUUUUAGAAUUGUUUGUGAAAAGUACGGUCGCAGGUUCAAAGUGUAGCGGAUUAAUUUUGGGUUUUGAGGUAGGUUAUAACUUUAACUCUUUUAGACUGGGAUAAGUAGUAAAUAAUGAUACAAAAUGCAUGGUAAGGAUAAGAACUAAUCAUAAAAAAUAGUUAUCUAUGUUUUGUGCUCGUGUGGGUCCUAUAUGUGAUGUAAUUAUUGAAAUUAAGAUAUUAUGUGAUAUGUGUGACCGUGUGGGGUCCUAUGUGAUGUUGAUAGCCUUGAAUACAAGUGAAUAAUUAUAUUGUUUAAGAUGCUUAAUGUGGUACCAUUGGAGUUUGUGAUUUUAUUCAUACUUUAUUAGCAUAUAAGACAUGUUGAAAUUCAUGAAUAAAACAGAGAUAAUGAGUGGAUAUUGGUUCACUUAGUUGUGGAAAUGUAACAUUGUGGUUGGUUGUGGAAAUACAUCAUGUAGUUGGUUUGGGAAAUAUAUCAUGUGGUUGGUUGUUGAAGUACUCAUUGUAAUUGGUUAUGAGCAUUACAUCUUUAUAUUAUACUCAUUCAUGAAAUAUUGGUACUACCGUGGCAACAUCUAAGAAACACUGGCAACACCUGAUAACACCUUUUCGAGGGAUGUGCCAAAAAGAAGAUAUGAUAUAUGUAGAUUGUAUACAGGUUGAGAAGCCCCCUUGGGUCCUAUGUUAGGAGGCUUGCCUCCGUAGGUGUAUACGGGGAUCGUGUGACGAUCUCAGAGGUUAUGCGAGGACCUCGUACUUCAUCAUCAUCUCAUAUACAUUGCACUUAUUUUGUUGUGUUUAUAUUGUGUUGUAUUACCAUAUUGACUUGCUAUUUAUGUAAUUGUCUUGUUUUCUUUUACUUUUAUUUGAUGAUCUUGUAUAUGCAUGUUCCCUCUUGUUUUACUUAUAUGUGAUAUAAUACAUACUUGUGUUCUAUCUGGUUGUGAUGUUGCAAUAUAUAUGAUAUAUUAGAACUGUUAGUGCAAACGUUGUGGGCUACCAUUGUAGGAUAUUUUUUGAUUGCAGGUGACAUGCCCUUAAUAUGUAUUUUGUGUGCUUCAUUUACUACUUUUCUUGGUCGGCCUAUGAUACCUACUGAGUGCAAGUGGACCGUACUCAUGCCUACUGCGCUCUUUUGGUGCAGGUCCUAGCUUGAGUGCGCCUUAGCUUGCUUGACUCGAGAAAUUGUUGGAACUUCUAAGGUAGCGGUUGGACAUUCAUACAUCCAAAGUUCAUCUCUAUCUUUCUAUAGUAGUUAUGUCUUUAUUUGUAUUCUGAGAUAGAUAUUAUUCCUUUGUGGUUAUUUUUUGAUGUAUUUGACUCUUGAAUUGUAUUAGUAGUUCUUACAUUUUUAACACCGGGUCUUGUGCAUGAUUUGUAUUUUGGAUAAGUUCUUCCCGCAUUAUUAAGAUUACUUGUAUGGUUCGGGUUUAUUCUAGAAGCCUUACCUUGAAUAUUUCUAUUCUUUCCUUUUCCUUCUUGUAUCGGUUUGGGUAAUAGGAUUACUUGUCAAGGUAUGUCGCGACAAGUGCCAUCAUGACCCUUAUUUUUGGGUCAUGAAAAAUUUGUAUCAGAGAUGCUAGGUUCAUUGGUCUCAAUAGUGUAAGAACGAAAUGUCUAAUAGAGUCUCAAGGAUCAGUACAUAGACGUCCAUAUCUAUCUUCAAGAGGCUAUAGGUCGUCAUUAUGAAAUUUCUCUCAUUUUAUUCUUUAUAGUGCAAAGUUCUUCCAUACCCUGUGUUCUGAUUUGUGUUUCAUUAUUUCUGUGUGGAUGGUGUGGCUUAUACUAUAUCUUAUCAGUUAAGAGAUGCAGCGAGAGAUUGUUGGAGGUCGCUUGUUAGUUGUAGACCCCAUGAUUCUCUCGAGAUGACUUGGGAUCAAUUUGUCAAGGUUUUUCUAGAGAGAUUUAUGCCUUUAAGUUUGAGAGACCAUAUGCGAGAUAUGUUUGAUCAUUUAUACCAGGGCUCCAUGACAGUUGCUGAGUAUGAGGCACACUUUCUUGCCCUGUGAUAUUCUUAUAAUAGCAUUUGCACUGAGUCUGAGAAGAUUUGAAAAUUCAUGAAGGGUUUGGAUAUUUUUCUUAGUUGGAUUCAUCUUAGAUGCUUGUAUUUGGAACUUUUUUUUAGAGCAUUUUGGAUUAUGCGAAGAUGACAUUCUUCGAGUAUCACAGUAAGGUGCCAACAAGGUGCAUUAUUUUGGUGAGUUUAGAGGCCAGGUUUAUUGUGGUAUAGGUACUAGGGUAGGCCAGUGUAGGCAGCUUUAUAGAAAUCAGGUGGUGGAUCUUCUAGUUCAGUAUUUUAGGGUAGUCGUUCGGGCCCAGUUGUACCUUCUCCCAUUGAGACUAGUCGUAGAGGUUUCUAUGUGUGUGAUGAGAUUAUCCAUGUGGCUAGGGACUGUCCCUAUUGUCUAAUUCAGACUACUUUUAUUUUAGUUGUGCAAGGUAGGGUAACUACCAGAAGAAUGUGAGGUAGAGGUGGUGAAAACUGUGAUGGUGGUUUUAGGCUACUUAUCCAAUUGGGGUUCAUGGUCAGUGUUAUGCUAUACCAGUCAGACUUGAGCCAGAGGCUUCUGAUGUUGUGAUUAUAGGUAUCGUUCCCUUUAUUUCAGACCUAUAUCUGUAUUAUUUAAUCCUGAUUAACUUUCUCCUAUGUGUAUGUGUAUUUUGCUUCAAGUUUUGAUUCUGUUCGUGAGCUUCUUGCCAUGCCUAUUUAUGUAUCUACCCUAGUAGGUGAUUCUUUAAUGGUGGAUAGGGUGCACCUAUCUUGUGUUGUGACUGUUAUCGGUCUUGAGACUUUGGUAGAUUUAUUUAUGUUAGAUAUGAUUGAUUUCAAUGUUAUUUUGGAUAUGAAUUGGUUGGCUCCUUACCAUGUUGUUUUAGAUUGUUAUGCCAAGACUGUGACUUUAUCUUCACCGAGUGUACCAAGGAUAGCUUGUAAAGGUGCACUUCAUUCAGGUCAUAAAAAUAUUAUAUCUUUUGUUCAGGCUCGUAAAUUGAUUGAGAGGGGAUAUUUAUCUUACUUGGCUCAGAUUCGUGGCACUAGUGUUGUUUUGCCUUCUUUCUUAGAUUCAAUUGUGCUGUCCAUGAGUUUAUAGGUGUGUUUUCUAUGGACUUUCCUGGUAAGCCUCUCGAUCGAGAUAUUGAUUUCACUAUUGAUGUUGAGCUGGGCACCAAGCCUAUUUCUAUUCUUCCUUAUAGGAUGGUCCCAACCAAUUUGAAAGAACUGAAGGAUCAGUUGCAGAAGUUAUUGGAUACGGGAUUUAUCCGACCUAGUGUUUCACCUUGGGGUGCGCGUUUCUUGGUUGUGAAGAAAAGAGAUGGGUCUAUGCGGAUAUUGAUUAUCGACAGUUAAAUAAGGUGACAGUUAAGAAUAAGUAUCCUCUUCCUCACAUUGACUAUUUGUUUGAUCAUCUUCAGGAUGCUGCAGUGUUUUUAAAGAUUGAUUAGAGGUCCAUUUAUCACCAGUUAAGGAUUAAAGCUUUGGAUAUUUUGAAGACAAUUUUUCAGACUCGAUAUGAUCAUUAUGAGUUCUUGGUCAUGUCCUUUGGGUUGACCAAUGCCCCUGCUGCAUUUAUGGAGUUGAUGAACUGGGUGUUUCGACCAUAUCUUGGCUCCUUUGUUAUUGUAUUUAUAGAUAAUAUUUUGAUUUAUUCCAGGAGUGAGGUUGAGCAUGAGGAGCAUUUAUGGAUUGUGCUUCAGAGAUUGAGGGAUGAGAAGUUAUAUGCUAAGUUCUUUAAGUGCAAGUUUUGGUUGGAGUCUAUUUCUUUCUUAGGUUAUGUGGUGACUAAGAAAGGUGUUAUGGUUGAUCCAACCAAGAUUGUCGCAGUUCAUGAUUAGGCUAGACCUACUUCAUCCAUCGAUAUUCAAAGUUUUAUUGGCUUGGUAGGUUAUUAUCAAUAUUUUGUUAAGGGAUUUUCAUCCAUUGCAACUUUAUUGACCAAGUUGACCCAGUAGUCUGAUGCUUGUGAGGCGAGCUUUUAAAAGCUCAAGGAUUUGUUAACUUCAGCUCCUAUAUUGACUUUGCCCAAGGAAGGCGUGGGUUUUACUAUCUUCUGUGAUGCUUCAGGUGUUGGGUUAGGUGUUGUGUUGAUGCAGGAGGGCAAGGUGAUUGCAUAAGCAUCUCGUUAGUUAAAGCCUCAUGAGAGGAAUUAUCUUAUGCAUGAUUUGGAGUAGUGCACAGUUGUGUUUGCCUUGAAGUUAUGGAGACACUACUUAUAUGAAGUCCGUUGUGGGAUCUGUCAGAUCAUUAUAGACUUCAGUACUUUUUCACACAACGAGAUCUUAAUAUGAGGCAGCGCCGUUGGAUUGAGUUGCUUAAGGAUUAUAACUUGACAAUUCUCUACCAUCCGGGCAAGGGUAAUGUGGUUGAGGAUGCCUUGAGCCAAAAAUUGACUAGCAUGGGUAACUUGGCGCAUCUUUUGACCCAAGAAAGACAUUUGGACAUAGAGGUUCAGUCUCUAGCUAACCAGAUAGUUAGGCUUAAUAUUUUGACACCUGGGCAUGUUUUGCCAUUUAUUGAGUCUAGAUCUUCUUUGAUGGAGCAGAUUCAAACUUAUUAGUUUGAUGAUGUUGGAUUGAGGUUGAUUCGAGAUAAGGUGUUAAUUGGGGAGGCUAAGGAAGCCUCACUUGAUUCAGAUGGAGUUUUAAGGAUUGGGGGCUAAGUUUGUAUGCCAAGAGUGGAUGAUUGGAUUAGGUUGAUCUUGUAAGAGGCCCAUCAUUCCAGAUAUUCUAUCCAUCCAGGUGUGACUAAGAUGUAUCGUGAUUUGAGGCAACACUACUAGUGGGUGGUAUGAGGUAAGAUAUAACAGAUUUUAUGGCUCGUUGUGUAUGUUGUCAGCAGGUGACGGCUGAGCAUAUGAGACCUGGUAGAUUGCUUCAGAGGUAACCCAUUCCCUAGUGGAAGUGGAAAUGGAUCACCAUGGACUUUGUGAUUGGUUUGCCUCGUACAUAUUUGGUUCUGAUAGUGUUUGGGUCAUCGUUGAUCGAUUGACCAAUUCAGCUCAUUUUAUUCUGAUUCAGGUCUUAUUUCAUGCCAAGAGGUUGGCCCGUAUCUACAUUCGUGAGAUUGUCCAUCUUCAUGGUGUGCCAGUCUCUAUUAUUUCAGAUUAAGGUCUUGUGUUCACAUCUCACUUUUGGAAGACUUUUCAGGAUGAGUUGGGUACUUGGGUUGAUCUUAGUACAACAUUUCACUCCUAAACUGAUGGCUAGUCAGAGAGAACUAUCUAGGUUUUGGAGGAUAUACUUCCCGCAUGUGUGAUGGAUUUUCGUGGCCAAUGGGAGCAACAUUCGACUUUAGCAGAGUUUGCAUAUCAUAAUAGCUACCAUUCCAGUAUAUGACUCUUUUUGAGGCAUUGUACGGUAGGUGUUGCCGCUCCCCAGUGGGUUGGUUUGAUGUUUCAGAGGUGAGACCUUGAGGUAUGAACUUGCUUUAUGAGUCUUUGGAUAGAGUCCAGGUCAUUCAGGAUAGACCUAGGCAGAUCAAAGUAGGCAGCCGUCCUACGCUGAUCGUAGACUUCAUGUCUUGAGAUUUGGUAUUGGUUAUCAUGUCUUACUUCGAGUUUCACCUAAAAAAGGUAUGAUGAGGUUUCAGAAGAGGGGCAAACUUAGCCUUAGGCAUAUUAACCCAUUUGAGAUUCUUCGGACUAUUGGUGAUGUGGCUUAUGAGUUUGCUUUGCCUCCUGAUUAUCAGCUGUCCAUCCAGUUUUUUAUGUUUUUAUAUUUUUCCGCUAUAUUCUUGAUGAGUCUCAUUUCAUUCGUUGGGACUCGAUUCAACUAGAUGAGCGGUUGUCUAUUAUUAAGAAGUCGGUCUCUAUUUUGGCUAGCGGAUGUUAGGUGGUUGCGUUCUAGAGUUAUCUUUGUGGUUAAGGUUUAGUGAAGACAUCAACUGGUAGAUGAGGCUAUUUAGGUGGUUGAGUCUAAUAUGCGUUGUUCUUAUCCUCAGCUCUUCAUUGAUUCAGGUAUUUCUUUGCCUUAGUUUGAGGACGAACUAGAUUUUUAGUGGUGGAUGAUGUAACGAUCUAAAAAUUUGAUGAAAUAUGUAAAAUUUGUGAUUGUGUGAUUUGACUAUUUAAAUCCUUCCCAUAGUUGCAUUAUGGUAUUUCUAGGGUGUGGGGGUGAUUGGCAGGGUUACAGAUGCAUUUUUGUAUCAUUUAUGCGAUAUUGCGAUUUUUGAUGGCUUUAAGAGCCUUAUUUUGGACUUAUGUGGAUAUAUUUUGAUCCGUGCGACGAAUGACUGAAUGAACUAUGCCACUAACUCCAGAAUAUUGAUUUUAGGCUAGGUAGACCUUUUGUUUAGGUCCGGGUACACCCGGGCUCAUUUUGACCUAUUGGUCAGAAAGUUAGAAAAUUGAAAAUAUGAGUGUGGGACCCACAGUUGGUUAAAACGACCUCGGAUGACACCCAUAUUUGAUCGAAAUGACCUCGGAUGAAAAUAUGACUUUGCUAACAGAUCUGAAAUGUUAAUUUUAUGGUGGUAACAUAUUUGAUGUGAUUUUAUGGCUUUUAAAUCUCAUUUUGACCCUCGAUUUAGAAAAUUGUUAUUUCGGGUUUCGGGGGUCAACUUUGUGAAAAUAAUGUUUUUUUUUAAAUCUGACUUCGCCAACGCGUUUGAAACAUCGAAUUUAGUACGGUUGCAUAAUUCUUUUGUGUAUAUCAGACUCCGAACGAAUUCCGAGCACCCCGUCAAAGUUCGGAUUGACUUUGAAAAAAGCGGCUGCUAUAACAAAUUUUCUGUUAUAAAUUGCAAUUUUUUCCCUCUUUUUGGCCAGUUUGCUCAUCUUUUAUCUUGCCUUUAAGAGUUAAACCCUAAGAUAGUGUGGGAGCUUAAAAGCUUAGCUUGUGGGAGUUUGGAUAACUAUAUUAACAUUUAUUUCUUGGUUUUAUUACAGAUUUAAGGUAACAAUUCACCCUUUUUUACUAAUUUCUUGAUUAAUUUCUCAAAAUUUCAAAAUCUUAGGGCUUGCUUUUAGACCACAAUUUUACUUAUUUUCACUUGAAUAAUGUUUUUUCUUAUAAUUACUAGUUUUUCAUUAAUUUAACCUUCAAAACAACUUCGAUUAUUGAUUUUAACCCGAUUUCAAAGAUUUUACCCAGUAAAGCUUAAAAAGGAUUUUUCAUCAAUUUGAACCUCAGUUUUGACUUGAUUUGACUUGGGUUUUCAACUGCAGGUUUCUAGAAAUAUGAAAAACAUGUUUUUGAAGUAAAGUUUCGAUUUUGCAUUUCUUUUUCAAAAAUUCGUUCAGGGGGUCCGUUUCUUUCUUUUUCAAAAAUUCGUUCAGGGGGUCUGUUUUGACCCCGAAUCAAAAGUAGUCAAAAUGGAUGUUGUUGAUUUUGCUUUGAUGCAAAGAUUCCAUAUUUGAUGUUCUUAUCGGAGUUUGGACUUGUUCGUGAAAAUUAAGGUCGUGGGUUCAAAGUGUAGCGGAUCAAUUUCGACUUUUGAGGUAAGUUGUGGCUUAACUCUUUCAGAAUGGGCUAGGUAGAAAAUAAUAAUACAAAAUGCAUGUUAAGGAUAGGAACUGAUCAUGAAAAAUGGCUAUCUAUGUGUUGUGCCUGUGUGAGUUCUAUAUGUGAUGUAAUUGUUGAAAUUGAGAUAUUAUGUGAUAUGUGUGACUGUGUGGGGUCCUAUGUGAUGUUGAUAGCCUUGAAUACAUAUGAAUAAUUGUAUUGUUUAAGAUGAUUAAUGUGGUAUCAUUGGCGUUUGUGAUUUUAUUCAUACUUUAUUAGCAUAUAAGACAUGUUGAAAUUCAUGAAUGAAACAGAGAUAAUGAGUGGAUAUAGACUCACUUAGUUGUGAAAAUGUAUCAUUGUGGUUGGUUGUGGAAAUAUAUCAUGUAGUUUGUUGUGGAAAUAUAUCAUGUGGUCGGUUGUUGAAGUACUCAUUGUGAUUGGUUGUGAGCAUUACAUCUUUAUAUCAUACUUAUUCAUGAAACAUUGGUACUGCCGUGGCAACAUCUAAGAAACACUGGCAACACCUAAUAACACCUUUUUGAAGGAUGUGCCAAAAAGAAGAUACGAUAUAUGUAGAUUGUAUACGGGUUGAGAAGCCCCCUUGGGUCCUACGUUGGGAGGCUUGCCUCCGUAGGUGUAUACGGUGAUCGUGUGACGAUCUCGAAGGUUAUGCGAGGACAUCGUACUUCAUCGUCAUCAUGAUCAUCAUUAUCAUCAUCAUAUACAUUGCACUUACUUUAUUAUGUUUAUGUUGUGUUGUAUUGCCAUAUUGACUUUCCAUUUAUGUAAUUGUACUAUCUUCUUUUACUUAUAUUUGAUGAUCUUGUUUAUGCAUGUCCCCCCUUGUUCUACUUAUAUGUGAUAUAAUGCAUACCUGUGUUCUAUCUGGUUGUAAUGUUGCAAUAUAUGUGAUAUAUUAGAACUGUUAGUGUAAAUGGUGUGGGCUACCAUUGUAGGAUAUUUUCUGAUUGCAGGUGACAUGUCCUUAGUGUAUAUUUCGUAUGCUUUAUUUACUACUUUGCUUGGUCGGCCUAUGAUACCUACUGAGUACAAGUGGAUUGCACUCAUGCCUACUGCGCCCUUUCGGUGCAGGUCCCAGCUCGAGUGUGCCUCAUCUUGCAUGACUCGGGCGAUUACUAGAGCUUUCAAGGUAGCGGUUGGACAUUCAUGCGUCCAUAGUUCUCCUCUAUCUUUUUAUAGUAGUUAUGUCUUUAUUAGUAUUCGAAGACAAAUAUUAUUCCUUUUGGUUAUUUUUCUGAUGUAUUUGACUCCUGAAUUGUAUUAGUAAUUCUUACACUAUUGACACCUAGUUUUGGGCAUGCUUUGUAUUUUAGAUAAGUUCUUUCCGCAUUGUUAUGAUUACUUGUAUGGUUCGGCUUCGUUCUAGAAGCCUUACCUUGAGCAUUUCUAUCCUUUCCUUUUUCCUUCUUGUAUCAGUUUGGGUGUUAGGCUUAUUUGUCAAGGUACGCCGCUACAAGUGUCAUCAUGACCCUUAUUUUUGGGUUGUGAAAGUUGCUUCAAUUGUGAUUUUACUAUAUCACUUCUAAUAAAUUAUUAUGGUCACCUAAGCAUUACAAAAUUAAUAAUAUUUCAUAUAAAAAGGUAACAUGGACACAAAAUGAUACGUCAACAAAAAAAUUUGGUUGACUAUCAAAAUUAUAUUAGUGCCACAUAAAUUGAAAUAAGACAAAGAAAGACAUAAAAGUAAUAUAUAUUAUUUGAAAAUGAGAUAAAAAUAUUGUAAAUCAGAAUAACUAUGAACUUAAUAAAAUAUUAAUAAAAUAAUUAACUGUUGAAAUUUUAUUUAUGUCACAUAAACUGGGACUGAGAGAGUAUUCAUAUAUUAUUGAAAAAUUAUGUAAAAAAUAUUAGAAAUCACAUAAUUAAUAACUUAAAAAAUUUAAAAGAAAUAAAAUAUUUGGUUGACUCUCGAAAUUAUAUCAGUCACUUAUAUUGAAAUAGAAGAAAGAGUAUUAUGAAUCACAAUUUUAAAACUUAUAUUAUUUUAAUGAUUGAUUAUCUAAAAUUUAGAUUCUAAAUUAUAUUUAUGUCACAUAAAUUGAGAUAAAAAAAUAACAUAUAUUGGACCCGUGCUUAAAGGCAAAUUCUACAGGGUGACAGUCCAGUCGGCCAUGUUGUAUAGAGCGGAGUGUAAGCCAGUCAAGAACUCUUAUAUUAAAAAAUUGAGGGUGGCCGAAAUGCGGAUGUUGCGUUGGAUGUGUAGGCUUACUAGUGGUGAUAGAGUUCGAAAUGAGACUAUUCGGGAAAAGGUUAGAGUGGCUUCGAUAGAGGACAAGAUGUGGGAAAUUCGAUUGAGAUAGUUCGGUCACAUGAUGAGAAGAGACACGAAUGCCCCGGUUUGUAGGUGUGAGAGGCUAGCGCUGGAUGGUUUCAGGUGGGGUAGGGGUAAACUGAAGAAAUAUUGGAGAGAGUUAAUCAGGAGGGACAUGAAGCAGUUACAACUUAUUGGGGAUAUGACCCUAGAUAGGACGAUCUGGAGGACGCAAAUUAGGAUAGAAGGCUAGUGUCAUUUUGGGUCGUUGGGGUCGUUGGGGUAGGGCAUUACUUGGUAGGUGUAUUAUUCUUGUUAGGCCAACUUGUUGCAGGCUUUAUUAUGAAUUUCUUUAAUAUUCCUUGUUUAUUUUUCCUUGGGGAUGGCGUAUUUAUGUCUUGUCAUCUUGUCCCAUGCUUUAUUAUGGAUUUGUUUAUUAUUCCUUGUCUUGAGCCGGGGGUCUAUUGGAAACAACCUUUUUAUUUCUCCGGAGGUAGUGGUAUGGACUGCGUACAUCUUACCCUCCCCAAACCCCACUGUGUAGGAAUACACUGGGUUUGUUGUUGUUGUUGUUGUUGGACCUGUGCUAGCACGCGUUGUUUGUAUCUAGUUGUAAUAGAAACGCACAUUGGUUUAACCUAAUGUUACUUAUCACAACAAUUAUUAAUAGAUUAAUUAUCAUUUAUUGUAGGCUACUAUUAAUCCCUUUCGUACCUUCCUUUUUCCUACCCCUAAUUUUCUUUUUUUCUUUUAAAAAAAAAAAAACUCAAAUCUACAACUCAUUACAAGGUAAAUGUAACCACAUUAUAGAGAAGAUAUGUAAUAAAUACUUUCUCCAUUCUAUUUUAUGUGUCACAGUUUGAUCCGACACAGAUUUCAAAAAUAAGAAAAUGCUUGAUGAUUUUUACCAAGUUGUCUUUUAUUAAAAAAUUAACUACCAACAUGGGUUGUGGUGCAGUGGAUGGGACUGCUCCACCCUUAACCAGAGGUCGAGGGUUUAACCCUGGGCAUGGAGAAAACUCUGUUGGGAGCGCUGCCACCUUAAUGAGCCCUACAACGCGCGAUCCGAAUUAGUCGAGGCCCCAAUGCAGGCACCAUACACCGAUGGGAAACCAAAAAAAAUAAAUUAACUACUUGUAUCUUUAAUUAAGUGAACCAAUAAGGGUAAAAGUGAAAUUAUGUCUUUAAAUAGUUAUUAAAUAAGAAAAUGUGAUAUUCUUUUUGAACGGACCUAAAAAAUAGCGACACAUAAAAUAGAACGGAGGGAGUAAUAGUGUUUUUCAAAAUAAGUUAUCAUGUAAUUUACUUUUACCAUUAAAUCUAGUUACAAAAUCUCUAAUUUCACUCAAAAUUACAUUGCAAUUAGGUUACGACAAAGUAGAUCAAUCAUUGUAAUUACUUGACUGCACACAGUUGUUCUAAAAGAGACUCAAUUAGCCUGUGAUUAUAUGAUAUGGGCGGAGUAUACUUAUAAAUACAGUUGCUAGCGAUUAAAUUUUAAAUAACCUGAUCAUAGUGUAAAGUACGCCACUAGUCAUGUACCUUAAAACUCUGUAUUUGAUGGUUGUUGACAUAUAAUAAAUUAGGGAUAAUUUUUGAGACAUUCCUUCAUAUUUAGCUCUAUCAUACUAACUUUCUUGGUCGAUUUACAAUGUUACUAUUACCUUGUCAUGAUGCAAUUUUUCAAGUCAUGAUAACACCUACUUCAACCCACCAGUAGGUAAGACAAGCCAUAAUCCUAAACGGCAAGUAACAGACUAACCGGCGAAAAAUAAGAUAAUGAAAGAAACAAACAUAUAAUCAAGAUACUAAGUAAAGAAAAGUGAUGAUAUACAUAUAUAAACAUGUUGUACAAUAUAAGGAGAAAGAUAAAAUAUACAAGAAGGGUUUUCUCCUAAGACUUGGUAGAUCAGUACAAGAAUCACUAAAUCAAAAGAGAGUAUUAGACAGUGUCAGGUAUACAAUAUAGUCUCAAAAUGUACAAAAAAGACUGUCCAAAAACAACAAGAGGAGGAGGAUCAACUCCAGACUCUAAAAACUCACCAUAGCUCCAAAUAGCAGCACAACAUAAGGAAAUGUCAGAGGCGAUGACUCGUACUUGGAUCUGUAUGAGAAAAAGAUACAGAAGUGCAGUAUGAGUACCAAAAUAGCGGGUACUCAGUAGGCAUCAUAGGUCGAACGAGCUAACUUAUAGUAAAAGCAUAAAUAAAGUGCGAGAAUGAAAACUAAAGUACAAAAUAAUAGGGUAAAAAUGAAAAUAGUAAAUCAUGCCAAGUGGGUGUGAUACACACACACACACACACACACACACACACACACACACACACACACACACAUAUAUAUAUAUAUAUAUAUAUAUAUAUAUAAAUAAGUACCCAAAUGCGAAUAAUAAAAUCUAUCUAUAAUCUAAUUGGGCCCCUAUAAGCCCAAAAGGUACAAAAAAGAAGGAAAAUAACCCAAUUGAGCCCCUAUAAGAGCGGAGGGUAGAAGAAAGAGUAACACUAAUAUAAAGAUGGAACAACGAUAGUGAUAUUUAUAGAAUGAGCCAACGUGUGAUAAGCGUAACUAAUACUCCCUUCUGAUCAUAACCCCAAGUCUUUCCAGUCCUUAUCAAAUUUUCAACCUCAAAUCAGUAUCUAUAUAGGUCAUAAAUGUUUGACUUAAAUCAAAUCUAGAGAAUGAUAACAUAAUAGUAAAAUGACAGACUCAAAUCGAAACUAAUAAUUAAUAAUAAAGUUGUUGGAUGCCGAACUCGAAUUGAAACUAAUAAAUAAUAAGUAAAAGUAGCAAUAAUCUAGGUAUACAACUUUAAUUAGGUCUAGCUAAUCAUAAUUGAAGGUUAGGCUGGCAAGUCUCUUAAGGCGAUACAGGUCCUAAUUACAAGGCCAAAAGGUGAGAGUUACGGCUAAAUACUACCCCACCUAGGAUAACAAAGUUAAAAAGGGUUGUUGAAACUGAUUAAGUCAUCCUAAACUCAAGAUUUAGCCUAAGGUAGAGAACAGAGGUCAUUUAGGUCAACAAAGAUCUAUUCUAGGCACCCCAUCUAAAAGAAGAAACAGUGGGGCUCAUUACUUGUCUUGAAAACCCAUUCUAAGACAAGUACCUACCUACCUAUUCUAAGGCUUCUCAAUCCCAUUCCAAAACACUAAGCAUAUUAAAUCUUAGGUUUAAGGAAUAAUUAUAAGCCAAAAUAAAGAAAGAAGGGUUCGAAUUCCACAACCAAUUUUUCAUGAAUGAGUAUGAUAUGAGGAUGUAAUACGCACAACCAAUCACAAUGAGUAUUUCCACAACCAAUCACAAUGAUAUAUUUCCACAACCAACUACAAUUAUAUAUUUUCACAGCCAUGUAAGCCAAUAUUCACUCAUUAUUUUUGUUUCAUCCAUGAAUUUCCACAUAUCUAGUAUAACGACAAGUAUGAAUAUAUCAAAAUACACCAAUGGUACCGCAUUAGGCAUCAUAUAGGACCCCACACAGUUACACAUAUCACAUAGUAUCUCAAUUUCAACAAUUACAUUACAUAUAGGCCCCCACAUAGAUAGCCAUUUUUCAUGAUUAGUUCUCACCCUUAACAUACAUUUAUAUCAUCAUUUACUAGCCAACCCAGUCUGUAAGAGUUAAGCCAUAACCUACUUCAAAAGCCGAAAUCAGUCCGCUACACUUCAAACCCACAACCUUACUUUCCACGAAUGAUCCCAAACCCCUCUAAAAAUAUUAAAUAUGGAAUCUACGCAUUAAAAUAAAAUCAAUGACAGCCAUAUUGACUACUUUUGGUUCAGGGUCAAAACGGACCCCCAUAAUAAUUUUUUUAAAAAGAAGGGCAAAAUCGUAAGUUUACUUCAAAAAUGUGUUUUUCAUAUUUUUAGGAACCUACAACUGAAAAUACAAGUCAAAUCGAGUAAAAAAAAUGAGGUUCAAAUCGAAGAAAAAUUAUUUUAAACCUUUAUCGGGUAAAAUCUUUAAUUCGGAUUAAAAUGAAGAAUCAGAGUUGAUUUGAAGGUUAAAUUGAUGAAAAAUAGUAAUUAUAAGACAAAAACAUUGUUCAAGUGAAAAGGAGUGAAAUUUGGGUUUAAAAUCAAGCCCUAAGAUUUUUGAGGUUUUGAGAAAUUAAUUAAGAAAUUACUAAAAAAAAGGGUGAGUUCUUACCUUAAAUCCGUAAUAGAAUAAAAAAAUAGAUGUUAAUCUAGCUACCCAUGCUCCCACAAGUUUCACGUUUAAGCUUCCACACUAUUUUAGGAUUUAACUCUUAAGAGGCAAGAUGAAAAAUGAGUAAAAUGGGCCUAAAAACUGCUAUUAAUAAUGCAGAAAAUCUACACCAGUUUUUUCUAAGUCCGGAUAAACUUCGAUGAGGUGCCCGAGAUUCGUUCAGAGUCCGAUAUACGCAAAAAAACUAUACAACCACACUAAAUUCAAUGUUUCAAAUGCAUUGGUGAAGUCAAAUUUUUGAAAAAAAUUAUUAUUUUCACAAAGUUGACCCCUAAACCCCAAAAUUAUAAUUUUCCAAAUCGGAGGUCGAAAUGAGAUUUAAAAGCCGUAAAAUCACACCAAACAUGUUACUACCCUAAAAUUGAUGUUUUGGAUCUUCUUACGAAGUCAAAUGUUUUAUCCGAGGUCAUUUCAAUCAAAUGUGGGAACCACACUCAUAUUUCUAAUUUUUCAACUUUCUGGCCAACAGGUCAAAAUGGAACUAGGGUGCACAGGACCUGAACCAAGGAUAUACCAAGCCUAAAAUCAAUAUUUUGGAGAUUCUAGAGCAGUCUUUUUAGCUAUCCAUAGAAAAGAUAAAAAAUAUCCAUGUAAGUCCAAAAUAUGGCUCUCGAAUCCAUCAAAAACUACAAUUUUGCUUAAAUGGUACCAAAAUGCAUCAAAAAUCAUGUCAACCACCCCCAUAACCCAGAAAUAUCAUAAUGCAACUACAAAGAAGGGUAAAAUUGUCAAAUCAUACAAAAUCACAAUUUCAUCAUUUUUUCAGUGUUACAUCAUCUACCACUAAAAAUCUAGUUCAUCCUCGAACUAAAGCAAAGAAAUACCUGAAUCAAUGAAGAGCUGGGGAUAAGAACUAUGCAUAUUAGACUCGACCUCCCAAUUAGCCUCAUUUGUAGGUCGAUGUCACCACUGAACCUUAACCACAGGGAUGACUCUAAAAUGCAAUCACCUAACAUCCCUAGCUAAUAUGGAUAUCGGCUUCUCAACAAAAAAUAACCACUCAUCUAACUGAACUGACUCCCAACGAAUAACAUGAGGCUUAUAUGGAAUGUAACAGCGAAGCAUAGAAACAUGAAAAACUUGAUGGACAUUUGAUAAAUCUGGAGGCAAAGCUAACUCAUACGUCACAUCACCAAUGGUACAAAGAAUCUCAAAUGGACCAAUAUACUUGGGGCUAAGAUUUCCCCUUUUUCCAAACCUCAUCACACCUUUCAUAGGUGAAACACAAAGGAAAACACGAUCACCAAUACUAAAUCUCAAGUCACGAAGUCUACAACUUUCAUAGAACUUCUACCUACUCUGAGCCGCUCAAAGUCUAUCCUGAAUGAUCUGUACUCUAUCCAAAGACUCACGAAGCAAGUCCCUACCUUGAGAUCUCACCUCUGAGACAUCAAACCAACCCACUGGUGAGCGACAAUUCCUACCAUAAAAUGCCUUAAAAGGAGCCAUAUCAAUACUGAAAUGAUAGCUAUUAUUAUAUGCAAACUCUGCUAAAGCUAAGUGCAGCUCCCACUGAACACCAAAAACCAUCACACAUGAAUAGAGUUUAUCUUUCAAGACUUGAUUAGUAUGCUCUAACUGACCAUUAGUCUGGGGGAGAAAUGCUGUACUGAGAUCAACCCAAGUACCCAAAUCAUCUUGAAAAGUCUUCCAAAAAUGAGAUGUGAACACAGAAUUUUGAUCUAAAAUAAUAGACACUGACGUACUAUGUAGAUACGUAAUUUCAUGAAUGUAGAUACGAGAUAACCUCUCAGCAUUAGAUAAAACCUAAAACAUAAUAAAAUGAGCUGACUUGGUCAAUCGAUCCACGAUGAUCCAAGGACUAUCAAUUCCUUGCGAUGUAUGAGGCAAACCAAUCACAAAAUCCAUGGUGAUCUAUUCCCACUUCCACUCGAGAAUGGGUAACCUUUGAAGCAAACCAUUAGGUCUCAUAUGCUCGACCUUCACCUGCUGAUAACAUAGUCAACGAGCCAUAAAAUCUGCUACAUCUUGCUUCACACCCCACCAGUAGUACUGCCUCAAAUCAUGAUACAUCUUAGUCACACCUGGAUGGAUGGAGUAUCUGGAAUAAUAGGCCUCUUCUUAGAUCAACCUAAUCUAAUAACACACUUUUGACACACAAACUCGGCCCCCAAUCCUUAAAACUCCAUCAAUCAACCUUAAUCCAACAUCAUUAAACUGAUGAGGUUGAAUCUGCUACAUCAAAGAAGAUCUAGCCUCCACAAAUGGUAAAACACGCCUAGGUGUUAAAAAAUCAAGCCUAACCAUUGGUAUAGCUAAAGACUAAAUCUCUAAGGCUAAAGUCCUCUUUUGGGUCAAAAAGAUGUGCCAAGCUACCCAUGCUAGCCAACUUUCAUCUCAAGGCAUUUGCAACCACAUUAGCCUUGCCCAGAUGAUGGAGAGUAGUUAAGUCAUAAUCCUUAUACAACUCAAACCAAUGGUGCUACCUUAUAUUAGAUCUCACUGGGUGAAGAAGUACCAAAGGAUACGAUGAUCUGAGAAGAUCUCACAAUGUACUCCAUACAAGUAGUGCCUCCAUAACUUUAAAGUAAACACAACCAUGCAAAACUCCAAAUAAUGGGUAGGGUAAUUACUCUCAUGAGGCGUUCAAUGGACAAGUUUCAUAAGUAAUCAUCUUGCUCCCAUGCAUCAACAUAAUGCCCAAUCCAACGCCUAAAUCAUUACAAAACAUAGUAAAGCCCACCCCUUCUUGGGCAAGGCUAAUAUAGGAUUUGAAGUCAAUAAAUUCUUAAGAUUUUGGAAGGUCGUCUCACAUGAAUCAGUCUACUGUAAGGAAAUCUUCUUUGAAGUCAACUUAGUCAAAAGAGUUUUUAUAAAAGAGAGAUUGAAACACCCCAGACCAUGGCCCUUGCAAAAAUUCUUGGGUUUUGGAUAUUCUUUCCAUGAUACAACUCAGGGUACUAGUUGUACCCUUGAAUAUGAAUUAGUGAAUCCUUACUCAUGUCCUGGGUAGUAUGGUGGGGGUUACAUACUGUCACAGAUAUAAUUUAGCCUCCCCAUGGUCUUACCAAUGGGUACGAGUCAUAUUAUGCUAAGUCGUAUGGUGUCUUAGGUUUUGUCUUGAUGAAACUAUCUUAGGUACAGGUCAGGGUAUGACUUAAGGUACCAUUCAUGCCCAAAGGUAUGAUUUAAGUGUGUGUGGUCAUACCCUGAGUAGUGUAGGGUGAGGCCUAGGGUAUGAGUUAGGGUUCCACUCUAUAAUACCCCGAGACUACAACCUAGACAUCACACGAUGCUUACAAUCCUGAAGGACCAUAAGAUAAUCUAAGACUAGUACUUGCUAUGAGCACUGAAUAUAAUACUGAAAUCUAUAUGUGGAAAAAAUCUAAAAAUGCCAUUAGGUUCUCAAAAUAUAAAAAUAAUAACCAAGCAUAAUGAUAAUAAUAUCUAAAAACUAAAUAACUGACUAUGCUAGUCUGAAAGCCUCUAACUGUCUAAAUAUAGAGUUGAUGGGACAAACCCCCAACUAACUCCGACUAUAAUAACUACUGAACUAUGGGGAUACUGAAAUAGAUAAACUCUAUCCUCAAAAUAUGAGGACUCACCACUAUGACUGCUGCUGAUAGCCCAAGCUACUAAGUACAGUUAGGAACCUGAACAUCCAAAACUAUGAUUUGAGAAAUCAUAGCACAAAAGAGAGUAUGUGCCAGUACAUGGAAUAUAAUGGUACACUAAGUAAGGUAACACUGAUAUACAUGGGUUCAUAUUCAUGAGAUGAUAACUAAUUGAAUGAACAUCAUGAAGUAACUGGAUAGGAGUACAUGCAAAACUGUAACUGAUAACUGAUUAUACUGAAACUGAGUACUAAAUUCUGAUGGCUGAGUAACCGAUAACUGAUUUCCAUGGUUCCAAAGAACUAACUGAGUUCUUCACUGAAUACUAAAACUGAAAUUAUAACUGUAGGAGUGUUAAUCUAAAUGCCAUACCCCGAUAUAAAUUGAUUUGGGGUUCAACCUGUGACCCCAGUUGGAAGGGUGUUAGCACCUUCCCAUGGGGUACUAAUAAUACUGUUUCAACCCCAAUCUGGUAUGAAGACUCAUGAAAUAUAAAUAUGAUUGCGUCAAUCCUAUUCUGGCAGAAGAAAGACUUACCGUACGCUGGCUACGUAGUUCUAUAACUCAAGGAUUGCUACUAAGGGNNNNNNNNNNNNNNNAAUGCCCCUAUUCCUAGGUUUUCUCGAUGCUGAAUCCUGCUCCUAACUAAAAGACAAUGAUUACUAGAUUGUAAAAAGCUUGAUUGAGCUGACCCUGAUAGUGUUGACUGACUAAACUGGACUAAGCUCACUGAGUUCUGUUAACUGACUGAGUACUAUUAUUCUUUACCUUUAUCAAGACUAUUCUAUAAUUACUGUAACUAAGUAAACAACUAGAUUUUGAGUAACAAGUACGCACAGGACUCAAUAGCAUAAUUGAUAAACUCAUAUCACAACUUUAGCAACACAAUAAUAGGUUACCAUGCAUAAUUUACUCAUUAGACAUUUUAUCAAACACUUAGGGAGCAUGAUUUCUAUACAUGAGAACUAACCACAUCGGGUAUCAUAACUACAACAUGCAACUUGUAAAUUCAAGGGUUUUGAUAUGAGAGAUUCAUAAUUUAACACACAUGCUAAAUUAAUUUCAUGGAACUCAUAAACGAUCUUAACUUGAAACCAUACAACAACACAAAUAUGAGCAUAAUUCAAUUCAUAACAUGGAAAUCAUAAUUCAAUUUUUGAAAAGGGUUCUUGAACUCCAAGGAUGGAAGAAAACCCAAGGAUGAACACCUAACAUACCUGAGUGACAGAAUUCAUGAAGAUUGUUGGGGAUUUCUUUGAACUUGAUCUUGAGCCGGAUGAACUAGUGUUUAUUUCUUGAGAGGAUUUUGUGAAUGAGUGAAUAUGUUUUGCUUAUUGAGGGGCUGAAUUUUAUGUUAUGGGGGUUUAAUAUGGAAGGAAAAUGACUUAAUUACCCUCACAAACCCAUAACUUAAUACACAAUCUGUGCCCAGUGACAUGAUGACCGACGCACCACGUCGAUGAUUUUGAUGCGAUAGCUGAUGCAUUGCAUUGAUGGUGUGGAUGCAAUAGCCAACACAACGCAUCGAGAUUGUGUUGGAUUGCUAUUUUGUUCAUCCAAGCAUGACUCAAACGAUGUUUGAAAAAUCUAAAACUCACCCAAGAUGACCUAUUUACAUCCUUGAUCAUGAAUCAACUUAAAAAUCAACAUUCCAAGGUUGUAACGAUAAAACAUAAGAUCAUCCAAUUACGAAGUCUAAAAAUGAUUCUAUGUCUUAACACUUAGCUGAAUUUUUCUAAGUUUAGAACCCCUUAUUAAAAGCUAUAUGGGACUGAAUUGAACUAGAACUUUUAUGGGGUCUUACAAUAUCUCCCCCUUGGGAACAUUUAUCCUAGAAUGAGACUGACUGAACUGAGAAACUACUUACACUGACAUGCAUAAAUGAAGCAUGACUGAAUUCUGGAGACAUGGCACAUGACUGAACUAUCUCAUCAAUGCAUAAAUGAUAUGAGAAUGUUAUGCAGCUGUAACUGAGCAUAGAAUAUAGUAAAUCUAAGAAGGGCUAUUACAUUAGGCCGAGUCAGAGUUGGCAGAAAAGAGGUGAGGAUACUUGGUUCACAUGUAUGCCUCUGCUUUCCAAGUAGCUCCCUCAAUGGACUAAUUCCGCCAAAGAAAUUUGACCAAAGAAACUUCUUUGUUCCUUAGUCUACGAAUCUGACGAUCAAGGAUUUUGACUGAGACUUCCUCAUAAGAGAGACUGUUCUGAACAUCUAUACUCUCUAUGGGGACUAUAAUUGCUGGGUCACCUAUGCACUUCUUUAGCAAGGAGACAUGAAAUACUGGAUGCAUUGAUGCUAAGUCUGUAGGUAAUUCAAGCUCAUAGGCUACCUUUCCGAAAUGACUCAAAAUCUUAUAAGGACCAACAUAUCAGGGACUAAGCUUCCCCUUCUUACCAAACCUCUUCACCCCCUUCAUGGGAGAUAUUUUCAAUUACAUAUAAUCAUUAAUCUCAAAUUCAAGGUCUUUUCACCUCACAUAUACAUAAGAUUUCUAUCAGCUCUGCACUGCAUUAAGCCUCUUCCUGAUCAACUGCACUUUUUCUAAAGCAUCAAACACUAAGUGAAGACCCACUACCGCAUCCUCACCUACUUCAAACCAACCAAUGGGAGAUCUAUAUUUCCUCUUAUAAAGAGCCUCAAAUGGAGCCAUCUGAAUAUUGGAAUGAUAACUAUUAUUAUACGUGAACUUAAUCAACGGUAAGUGGUCAUCCUAAUUUCCCUUAAUGUCAACGACACACACUCUCGAGAUAUCUUCCAAAGUAUGAAUGGUCCUUUCUGCUUGACCAUCUGUCUGAGGGUGAAAGGUUGUACUGAGAUAAGCUUGGGUUCCAAGACCCUUUUGGAAGGCUUUCCAAAAGUAAGAGGUAAACUGUGUACCUCUAUAUGAAAUAAUAGAUAAUGGGACACCAUGAAACCUAACCAACUCUUUAAUAUAGAGCCUAACAUAGUCCUCGAUUGAAUAAGAGGUAUGAAUUAGAAAGAAAUAGGCUGAUUUGGUUAUCCUAUCUAUAAUGACCCAAAUCGAAUUGUGCUAACAAUGAGUAUGACAAAAACCUAUCACAAAGUUCAUGUUAACUUCUUCCCUCUUCCAUGUGGGAAUAUUGAACUCCUGUAUGGGACCACUGGGCUUUUGGUGCUCAAUCUUUACCUGCUGACAUGUGGAGCACUUAGCUACAAACUCUACAAUGUCCCUCUUCAUCCCACUCUACUAAUAAAUCUCCCACAAAUUGUAGUACAUCUUAGUGGCCCCUGGAUGAAUGGAGUAACGUGCACCAUGCACUUUUGCAAGAAUUCACUUCCUCAGGCUAUCUACACCUGACACACAAAGUCGACCCUGGUAGCAUAACACACCAUCUCUCCCUUAGGACAAAACCUCUACUUUUUGGUCUCUAACUGACUUUUUUAGCUUAACUAAACUAGGACCUCUGUCCUACUUUUCUUUCACUUCAGAAACCAAAGAUGAUUCCAUACUAUUCUGCACCCAAACACUUCUCUCAGCCGUAUCAACUAAGCGGACACCUAGUCUGGCAAACUGAUUUUUACCAUCCUUAAAGUGAGCAACACUACCCAUGGACAACCUGCUGAGGGUAUCUGCCACUACAUUGGCCUUUCCUGAAUGAUACAAAGCACUCAUCUUAUAGUUUUUCAAUAACUCUAACCACCUUCUCUGAUGCAAGUUUAGGUCUUUCUAUGAAAACACAUACUCCAGGCUUUUGUGAUCUAUGAAUACAUCAACAUGCACCCCAUACAAAUAAUGCCUCCAAAUCUUUAAGGCAAGCACAAUAACUGCUACUUCAAGAUCAUGGGUAGGAUAAUUCUUUUCAUGGGGCUUAAGCUGUCUAGAGGCGACUGCAUCAAAACAUACCCCAAACCAACCCUGGAAGCAUCACAGUAUACAACAAAUAUGUCUGAACCAUUGGGCAAAUUCAAAAUUGGGGCUGCAGUGAGUCGAGUCUUUAACUCCUAAAUAUUCUUCUCACAAGAAUCAAACCACUGGAACUUGACUUUCUUCUCAGUCAAUCUCGACAUAGGGGAUGAAAUAGAUAAAAAUCCUUAAAUAAAACAUCAGUAAUAGCCAGAUAAACCCAAGAGACUCCUGAUAUUUUAUGGAAAAAUGGGUUUGGGCUAGUUUCUCACUGCUUUGGUUUUUUAAGGAUCAACUCUAAUGCCAUCACCGAAAACUAUAUGACUAAGAAAUGCUACUGACCUUAGCCAAAACUUGCACUUACUAAUUUUGGUAAACAACUGAUGGGCUCUAAGAGUCUGUAACGCUAUUCUGAGAUAGUCUACAUGAUCAUGUUCAUAGCGGGAGUAGACAAGAAUGUCAUCAAUGAAGACUAUGAUGAACAUGUCCAAGUACUGCUUGAACACGCAGUUCAUCAAGUCCAUGAAAACUACUAGGGCAUUGGUAAGACUAAAUUACAUGACUAGGAAUUUAAAGUGACCAUACCAGGUUCUGAAAGCUAUUUUCAAAAUGUCACAUUCUCUUACUCUAAGCUAAUUAUAGCCUGAUAUGAGUUUUAUCUUAGAAACGUAACUGCCACCCUAAAGUUGGUCAAAAAAGUCAUCAAUUCUAGGUAGUGGGUACCUAUUAUUUACUUUGAAUUUGUUCAACUGAUGAUAGUCUAUAAACAUUCUAAUAGAACUAUCUUUUUUUGCACUAAUAGGACUAGUGCACCCAAUAAGAUACGUUGGGCCUGAUAAAUCUUUUGUCUAAGAAGUCCUUCAACUGUUCUUUCAAAUCUUUAAGUUUAGCUAGAUCCAUUCUUUAUGGCGGAAUAGAGAUAGGCUGAGUAUCAAUAAGAAGGUCUAUUCCAAAGUCAAUUUCCCUUUCAGUAGGAACUUCGGGGAGAUCUUCGGGUAACACAUCUGGGAAUUCACUUGCGAUUGGAACUGGCUCAGGGAUAGGAGUCUCAGAACUAGAGUCUUUUACUCAUACCAAUUGAUAGACAUACCCCUUGGAUAUCAUUAUUCUUGCUCUAAGAUAUAAAACAAGUUUGUCCUUAAGUGCUGUGGUACUGCCCAUCCAUUCAAGGAUAGUUUUUUUUGGAAAUUGGAAGGAGAUAUUUCUGUUUCUACAAUCAAGUGAGGAAUAGCAUGAAUGGAUCCAAUCCAUGCCAAGAAUGAUGUCAAAAUCCAUUAUCUCUAACUCUACUAAGUCUACUAAAGUAACUUUCUGAGAUACCACAACUGAACAAUUCUUGUAUACGCGCUGAGCUAUAAUAGAUUUACCCAUUGGGGUAGAGACUGAGAUGGGUUUUUCUAAGAUUUUAGGACUGACUUUAAAGUUGACAGCUAUAUAAGGAGUUACAAAGGACAAAUAAACUCCUAGAUCUAGCAAAGCAUAAAUAUGUAAAUGGUAAACUUGUACCAUAUGAAGGACCACAUUAGGAGAACUUUCCUAAUCCUGUUAGGACUAGAGUGCAUAGAUCUUGUUUGGGCGUUGCCCACUGGUGGCAUAGGAAGUGGCACCCUACUGAGACGGGCGACUAGACUGAACUGAUGGAUGAUUAUGCUGACUCUACGAACCCAUCUGAGGAAAUUCUCUGAUCCUAUAGAUUGGAUUACCAUACCCAAAACACACAUCGCUGCCAGUACUAUAGAUACCUUGAUGGCUUCUCCCACACUUUUGACAAAAAGGAUAUGUUUGGGCACUGUUUACACUACCCUGAGAUUUAGAGAUUGGCGCCCUAUCCUUAUUACUAUUUCUAAAUUUAGGCACUGGAGCACUAGCUGAGGACAGGGAUGGGAUGGAAGAUUUUAGGUAGAAUUGAGGACUAUUACCACCCUCUGACAUAGGCUGAGUGAAGUUGAAGCUACCUAUUCUAGCCUUCUUGUUCUCCCUCUUUUUCUCUUUAGUCUUCUAUUCCUCAAUCUAUUGAGCAUAGACCAUCAACCUGGACAAGUUUAUCUUUUUAAUCAACAUUAUGGUCCUACACUCUUUAACUACACUGCCAGACAUACCAGGUAUGAACUUGCUCAUCUUAGACCUUCUCUCAGCUACCGUAUAAGGAACAUACCUAGCCAACUGAGUAAACUUGAGGGAAUAAUCUUUCACACUCAUAUUAGCCUACUUCAGAUUGAUAAAUUCUAAUACCUUAUCCUUUCUUAACUCUAUUGAAAAGAACCCAUCUAAAAAGGCAGUUGCAAACUCCUCCUAUUCUAUAGACCUUGUAUCUGCAUCCUUAUCUAUCUUCCACUGCUUAAACCAUGUAUGAGCGACAUACUGCAACUAAUGGUAGCAGAAUUAGCACUCUUACUAGCGGUUACCCCCAUAAUAUCUAUGACCUUCUACACUAUGUCAAGGAAUUCCUGUGGUUUCUCUUCAGACUUAGACCCUGAAAAUGAAGGAGGGUUCAUUUGGGUGAAGUCCCGAAUUCUAGCUACAGCAGUAUUGGCCACUGGGUUAGCCUGAACAGUAGUUGGGCAUUCAUUUUGGGCUUCUAUAGAAUGAGCUAGAGUGGUGAAUACAAUUCUAAAUUCUGCAUGAAAAACGUGCUCAUUCAGGGGAUCUUCCUGAAUGGGCAAAGUUCUGGCUCGUUUCCAGUUCUUCUUUUGUUGGUUUUUCUGGGAGGCAUGUCCUAUAAAUGGAAGGAAAAAUUGAACUAGAUAGAGAUUUUUAACUUGAGAUCAUGCUCACUCACAUAACAUGAAUAUUAAAAGAAGGGAAACUUUUCCUAAAAUUCCUCAUAGCCUUUAGUCCAUAAGUGUGGCGCGCUAUAUACCCAUGCACAAGACUUUACUUAACGCAACUUUCAGACUCCCUAGGACUCUUUAGAACCUUAGGCUAGGAUACUAAG